GACUUAUGGGAUUGACUUUGGCUUGACAGUCGCAUCAGGAUGACUUUGAUAGAGAGUUGUUACUGAACUGUGGAUUGAUCCCUCUCUAUCGCGUGAAUUGAGUUCGGUAGCUAUGGACACCUGGAGCAUCCAAUGCUAGGGAAAGCAUUAAGAUCGAAAAUUUCUAAGUGAUUGUGUUGUGAACCUUCUGUCGAAGCUAGGCCCUUGGCUUAGGCUUGCAAAGAGUUUACUUGGACUUGAGUUGGGACUAAGAUGAUGAUCUUAGUGGAAUGAUGAAGCCUCUGAGCUUAGUCCCUGACCAUGUAUUGCAGAGGAUUUGAGGGUACUCCCGAGUGGUGCCAUGCUUAACCUUGGAAUGGAUUGCACUCAGUUGUGCCAUUUCGAGAAGAGACUUGAUCUUGGACCUAAAGGAUUAUCGUUGGGGUAUGAGCCAAUGAGUGGACGUUGCAUCACCUCUCCUUGGUGAGUGAUGAUCUGAUGAGCACUCCGAUGGAGUUUUGACGGUUGAGUAAAGGAUGUAACCCCCUGACGCUUGCUUUGGACAGUACCAUUAAAUCCACCCUUGAAGGGUAUUUGGAGGGAAUCCCGUAUACUAGAGUAAUUGAAGCAGAGCAAGGCCUACCCUCGACUUGGAUGAGGAAGGUGAGAACGGGAAUUCAGCUUUUAGGAAUACUUGGUUUCGUGAGAACCGACUGAUGGACUUGGUGAUCAUGCAUGGAAUAGAGAUGGAACUUCCGGUAAAGCCUUGAGUUCAAAGAACUUCGGUGGAAGCUUUACUUGAGUUAUGCCUAGUCUUGGCAUCGCGGGAUCUGGUUGUGUUUUGCCGUGGGACUUUCCGGCAUGCUUGAGACCUUCGUGGUCUAGCUUGUACGUUGUUGAAGCGUUCCUCCAUCCUCUUUGGAUGAGUCUGUGUUGUAGUUGAUCCGUAUUUUUGCGAACGAAACUCUUUUUUAGGAGGGGAGAAUGUAACACACUGGACUUUUGCAAAUUGCGAGGUUCGAGUGUUUGAUCUGAGUUUUUCCAGUUAUUCUGGAGGGUAGAUAGUGUUUCGACCUAUAGUUCGCAUCCCAAGAAUUGAUGUUUUUAUCGUAGCACCAAAACUCAAAAAGAUUGGAUUUUGGUCUACUCUCGGGUUGGCCUCAGCAAGAUUGUGUACCGGUACAGGUUGAUGGCUGUACCGGUACAGGUUGAUGGUUGUACCGGUACAGAAUAUGUGUACCGGUACACAGUGUGUUUUCCAGCCAACCCGAGGCUCUGGUCUGCGUGUUCGGGGGAGCUGUACCGGUACACUUCCCCGUGUACCGGUACACAGUCGAGACUGCAGUCUGGCGAUUCUGCAGGGGUGUAUUUGCUAUUGUUGCUUCUCUAUACAUACCCCACGCCCCUUAGGGCCUCCCCUGAGCUGAGAGCUUUCGAGAAGAAGGUAGGGGAGCCUCUCUUUUCCCCUCUUUGGAUUUGAUCUCUAUUUUGCUUGGAUUUUGAUGGUUUUAUCUUGUCUUUUUGCUUCUUGGUGCAACCUACACCAUUGGAGAAGCCUUGAGCUCGUGGUUGGAGCUCGUGGAGGGAAAGAACAUCAACCCUAGAUGAUUUUGGACCUUGAUUUGAAGCUUCUAAAAGGUUAGUAACAUAUUUCUCUCAUUAAAUUCAUGUUUUACAUUAUUCUUGUUUAGAAACCCUAGAAAUGAGGAUUUAGGGUUUGAUUUGGGAAUUUUUGAUCUAGGGCUUUUGGAGCUCAAUCGAUCGGUUUAGAACCUUCCACUAGGUUUGAUUGGGAGGGAUCUAGCUCCCAUUUGGAGCUUGGGAAGGGUUUGCUUCACUAUAGGUGAGUUUUGCUCCUAUCUUGAGUUUGUUAUUAUUUUUGCUUGUUGUAGUUCGUUUCGUUUGUGUAACUCCCCUAGUUUAACCUAUAGGGAGCUAGGAGGUUAGUGGGCACCUUCCUUCGGUGAAACGAAAGGCUUCAAGAGGACUUGGUGGAUUUGGCCUCACCAAAAUGAGAUAAAAUUCUCAUAUGAUGGUUUUUACUUAUCGUAAAAUGAAAAUGCAUGCAUAUUCAUGCUAGAUAGAAUAUUGAGAAUUUUAGAAUGCUUAAAAUACAUAGGAUAUGUAUAAUGCAUUUUUGGACCUCUAUGUAGUAGAGAGUUGCAUGUUGGGUAAGCAUGAGAAUAACGUUCUUGAUUGUGGAUGAAAAUUAUGUUUCAGUUAGUGAAAAUGAUUAGUGCAAUGCACUCUUGGAGCUCAUGCUCGGCAUAGAUGAUUAUUUAACGUCAUAAAGCGGCGUUAGAUUCGAGAGAUGUAAAGGCUUGGACUAGAUAUGGACUUAGCAAGCUAAUAUCAUAAAGGGGCAUUAGACUUGGAGGAUAAGUGAAUUGCAUGUGCAUGUUAAUAUUAUGAGAGUUAUGCUAUGUUGGUAGUUGCAUUGGAAGUGUAUGCAUGUAGCAUUAUAAGAACUAUGCUAAGUUAUAGUUGCAUACGGACGCAUUGAAACCUUACGCUAGUGGAUAGAUACAUGUUAACCUUUAUAUGUAUUGUGGAAUGCAUGCUAGGCACAUAUUAGCAAUAUGAGAUCACGCUAGGGAGCAUGCGUAUUAACCUAUUAUUGAUAGAAUAAGCUAAUGUCAUAAAGAGGCAUUGGGCUUAAAAUUGGUAUAUUAAGCUAAUGUCAUAAAGCGUCAUUGAGUUUGGAACAUGUUUGAAUCUAGUAAAGUAGUGCCAUAAAGAGGCAUAGAAUGUGAAAUGUGCUUGGGAUAUAGCAAUGUUUAAGUGUCAUAAAGAGGCACUAAACAUAGUGAAUGUUGGAACUUCACCUUGAGAUUUGGAACUAGACUAUUGGGUUGCUAGUGGCUAUUACCAUGUUAGAGACAUGAUGAUUUGGUACCUGAGAUGAUGACUAUACUUGCUUGCCAUUUAUGCUCGUUCGCACAUGCUUGUGAGGGUCGCUCCCUACAAACCGGCACUCCGGAGUUGACCUACGCGACUUAUGCUCGCACGUGCGGUAUCGAGAAGCCUACGGGGUCGGGAGGGAUAGACUCAUUCCUAGAGUAGGAAUGUUGGAGCUACCACCGGCACUUAGGCGGCACAAGCCGGACUACACCUGUGUAGGUCCUAAAUGAGAUUAAAUCAGAAUAUUAAACAACAAGUUGAUAAUCACUACUAGACAGGUUAUAGUAGUUGGAUUCGUGACAUGCUAUGGCAUAGGGUUGAACAUUUGGAUAUGUAGUAUACUUGACAGUUUCGCAUAUUGCAUUGUAGUAUACUUUUUGCCAUGAUAGUACAUACUAGAUAUGUAGUGGACUUUGGGACAUAUAGCAUACUUCAUAGUAUUACUUGUUGUAUCAUAGCAUAUGUGUUUAGGUAUUGGUAGAUUGGCUCGUGUAGAGUAGAUGUACUCCAUAUCGACAUUCUGAAUACUUGUAGCAUGGUAGAGUAACAUUUAUUAUAUGCUUCAUUUACCGCAGUUAGUUUCUGUUAUCUUUAUCUGCUUAUACUUUUGGGCCUAGUGGUGCAGUUGGUGCAGGUUAGUAAUUUCCCACUAGGAACUAUAAAUUAUAGUUCUCAUGCCCCCUGUUUUAUGUUUUCUUUCAGAGCCUUCCACUUCGGGAUGGGCUCGGGAUCGCGGGAACGGUUUCGCCUCGAGUUAGCUAUCGAGGGACUUGGCGAUAGGUGGUCCACCUCUCUUUGUUUUCUUUUGGAGAGGUUGUGAGAGUUUUGUACUUUGUUAUAGAGACCACCCUAUUUUUGUAUCUUGAGGAUUUUGAUGUAUUAGUUUACAUUAUGUUUUAGUGGUUUAGUUCUCUUUGACUCUACUUGUUGAUAGAACUUAGCUGUAAAUUUGCUCUGAUAUCGUUAGUUAUUAUUUAUUUUUUUUUAUUUUUCAUAUCUCUUUGUUGUAGACGCCUUAUAUGUGCAGGCAUAUGGCGGGUCUGGGCGCGCACCGGGCAGGGCCUAUGCCGGGUCCUGGGGCGUGACAGGAUGUGUGUAGAAUCACAUCUUGCGAAAAUUGCCAUCUUGGAUCCCAUUAAGAGCAUGUUUGGUUCAAGUUACAUAAUAUUAAGGGUGCGUUUGGUUCGCACUAUCUUUUUAUGUUGUCCCUGAUUGGUGGACCAAUAUGAUACUCAUCAUCGCUAAUCAAACGUGAUCGAGAAGAUGACGCGAUAUCACCUCGAUACCAAUAAUCAAUCCAGUGAUUAUAAUAUACCGGACCCCUUGGUUUAUGAUAGUAAGCCACUCAUAUACUGUAAGCAAAGAAAUAAGACUAGCAUUAUAGAUAUCAAGAUCACAGUUCUUUGGUAUGAACUCUUCACCCCCUAAUACCCUGAUAUCCUAAAGAGAAAUACCAAUCUCACCAUAAGGAAAAUGAAAAAUAUUAGUCUCGGAACACCAAUCAUCUACUAAACCCUUAAAUAUUCUUAAGUCUAAUUCAUAUUUGCCCCCAAAAGUGAUAAUUCCUCCUAAGACAUCAGCUGAAUGUAAUGUGGACUUAAAUCGUCGAAUUAUGUCAUCCCUUCAUUCUAUAAGACCAUUUAAUUAAGAUGGCCCCAUCGCCCAGAGCUCGAAAGCCUCGCCAACUAGGGCGACCUUGUAGGAUGCACAGGCCCAAACAAUGCAUAUCCUCUGCCCCACUUGUACUCCCAAUGGGCUCUAAUAAAAUGGCAUUAUCCGAUCUAGCAUCGAUAAAAUAGCCUUCGGUAAAACUGGCCAUCGCAAGAGCACGCAUGAUUGCCCACUGAUUCAAUCGAAUCCCUUCACAAAAGAUUUUCGGGCCACAGUCAACAAGCGGCCAAGUACGAGAAGUGAGAGCUCCGACAUAGGUGUAUCACUCUUGAGCGCCCUCCAUAUACGCCUAAAAAAAAAAGGAUUAAAUUCUAUGGUUAUAAAAAAAAAGGAGAAUGAAAAAAAAGAGAAAGAAAAAAAGAACAAGAGAGGUUAGGACUUUCUCUCACACAAGUCCAAAAAAAGAAAAAAAAGGAUUACAUUUCAUGAUUAUAAAAAACAAAAAGAGAAAGCAAAAAAAAAAAAGAAAAAAAAAGGAAUGAGAGAGGUUAGGACUUUCUCUCACACAAGUCCAAAAAUACAAUAGAAAGGCGGAGAGCAUUUUGUUUGAGUAAAAAAAAAAAUAAGAAGGAGAAAAUGCCUAUAUAAAAGAAGAAUAGAUUAGUUAGAAUAGAAGUCCUAAUUUGCUUAGGUUUAAAUUCUUUAAAAAAAUAAAAAAAAAAGAAGAAAGAAAUAAAAAAAAAAAGGAAAGCGAAGGGGAGGUGACUCACCUCCCCAGAUCCAUACAGGGGAGGUGAGCCCACCUCCCCUUUUUUUUCAGAUUGAAAAAAAAAAAAAAAAAAGAAACAAAAGGAUCUUGUUUACUAAUUCUUAUUUUGUUUCAUUUUUUCCAACUUAAGUGAAUGCAGACUUAAGCCGUGUUGAGAGAGAAGAAACAUAAGGAUGAAAAAAGAUGAUACACGAAAAUUAAAUUCUUCGACAAAGACAAAAUAUUAUUAUUCAAAUCAUAAAAAAAAAAAAAAUCUAAUUAUAUUAACCCAAUGUCACCCCUAUNAAGAAGGAGAAAAUGCCUAUAUAAAAGAAGAAUAGAUUAGUUAGAAUAGAAGUCCUAAUUUGCUUAGGUUUAAAUUCUUUAAAAAAAUAAAAAAAAAAGAAGAAAGAAAUAAAAAAAAAAAGGAAAGCGAAGGGGAGGUGACUCACCUCCCCAAAAAAAAAAAAAGAGAGAAGGAACCCCCCACCUUUUUCUUUUAAAAAAAGAAAAAAGAAAAAAAGGAAAAAUAUUCAAAAAUUAAAAAAAAGAGUUGAUUUAUAUUUCGUUCAUCAAUAGGUUGAUUUUUUGAAUUAUUCCCAAAAGGAAGUCACUUUUGAAUCCUAUAUAAAAUAUAAUCCAAAUUUGCAAAGGAGGUCUGAAUAAUAUUUUUCUUUUAGCAGAAGAAAGAAAGAGAAUUCGAGAGCAAAAAAAAAAAAAAAAGAAAAAAGAAAAAAGAAAAAAAAAGAGAGAAAAACCUGAAAGAAAAAAAUGUGAGAAAAUAAUUCUAUUUUACUCUCCCUCUCUCUUUUUCUCGUGUACAUGCACGAGGGGGAGGUUUUUUUUUUUCUCCUUGGCACGUUGGCAGAGGGGGUGCCAUGUGCACCCCCCCCUCUCCAUUGUCUGUACCACAACAAAAAAAAGAGCUUUGGCUCCGGCGACGACGAUGGUCAUGACGACUUCCACGACAACAAGGGAUAUGUAUGCAUACAAAUCGUGUAAGUGCGAUUUUCUUGUCGGCUUGAUCAAUCCGACCAUCUUCGUGAUAGACUCGAAUCAAUCAAACUUGAUCAAAUCGUAACUUUUACCGUGCGUAUGCAUCGCUAAUCCCUAUGCCGAGUGGCCAUCUUUGUGAUAGGCUCGACACGGUUGAAGGGUUAAUCGAGCGGCUAUCUUCGUGAUAGAUUUGACGAGAUCAAACCCGGCCCGCCUAUUUUCUGUUCCAUAUACCGAGGGGUCAUCUUUGCGAUAGGCUCGACACAGUCGAAGGGUUAAUCGAGCGGCCAUCUUCGCGAUAGGCUAGACACGAUUAAACCCCCCGUACUUAGACAAAAUAUGAUAAAAAGAAUAAUAAUAAAAAAAAUGAAUGAGCAUUACUUUGAUUCGCCAUCUUCGUGAUAGACAUUGCUCGAAUUAUUCGUCAUCUUCGUGAUAGGCACGAUUCGACUUGGUCAACUAACCAUUUUUGUGAUAGGCAAUAUUCCAACCAUAUGCUAUCUUCGUGAUAGGCACGGUUCGAUUUGAUCGUAUCGCCAUCUUCGUGAUAGGCAUGUACUUGAUUAAAUUAUCAUCUUCGUGAUAGGCGUAAUUUAACUCAAUCGAAUUUCGUGUUUGGAACAAGUUGUUGUAGCAUUGCCUCAAAAAAAAAAAAAAAUGAUGAUUCACGAAUUUGGUAUUGAUUUUUAAUCGGGCCAAAUUAAUUCAAAUCGAACCCAAUAAUAAGAGGGGAAAUGAUUUGGGUUUAUUAAUUCGAAAGAGCCCAACCUAUAAUUUAUUUAAGGGCUCAAUCCCACAUGCAGUCCAUCAAGGAGAUUAAAACCGAUCUAGUCCAAAAUUCAGCUCACAUGCAAAUGCAGGCCCGAUUUUUUAUAAGGCCCAGAAUCUAACCCGCAAUCUAGUCCACAUACGGGUUUUAAUUUCAGCUCACAUGCAGAUUUGGAUCCAACACUAAUAGAAAUGCAAGCCCAGUCUCUAUAUGAAUAAAUUCAGCCCACAUGCAGAUUCGGGCCCACAACCUCACUACAACAGAAUUUGGUUAUAGGGACACAUGUUUGGGAUACUUUUGAGUAAGUGUCCCAUUUAUGCUAAAACUUAAAAAAACAUCUACUAAUGCCUAAAUAUAAAGCACAAUCCAACCAACAAUAAAAGAUUACUCUACUCAACCCAUCACACCUAGUCUAUUUAGCCCGAUUACAAAUAGAAAAGAAAAAAAAAAAAGAAAAAUCAAUUACUAUCUUUUCUUCUCUCUUUACUCUAUCCAUUGAAAUUCUAGACGAAGAGCCUUUCCUGUCGUCCUCCUCCGCCACCGCAGCCAACGAGAUAGAGUUUCGACGGUUGCUAAAUGCUUAAAUAAGUGUUGGUAAAUUAGCAGCACUUUUUUAGGUUAUAGCGACACUCUUUAACUGUCACUAUAUAACUAGCGACCCCACAUAUAGCAACACUUUUUAAAAGUGUCGGUAAUUUUAGCUAGCAGCACUUUUUUGACAUGUACCUAUAUUUAAAAGUGUCGCUAUAGACCGUUUUUGUUAUAGUGCCUGCAGAGCCCGAAACCUAGAUUCGAGAGAGAGGGGUGAUGCGAUUAUCGAGCAGUUCGGGUGGACAGUCGAGUUCUAAGCGACACUCGAAGUCAUCCUCUACCCGAUCCCCGCCUGGGUGUGCUAUUUGUGGCGGUCCCCAUUGGGCACGACGCUGCGUGCAGCGGGAAGCAAGAUGCAUUCGAUGUGGGCAACCAGGCCAUAUGCGGGAUGAGUGCCCGCAGGGGGAUAGCCGGACACUGAUACUAGCGACGGCCUUCUCCUCUUUGAGACAGUUUGCGGGUACGCCACCCGCGGCAUGGUCUGGAGAGCGAGUGAGGACGGUGAGACAACCGGAGGGUUUGCGACGUGUGCUAAGUGGCCACGGAUACGCGACCCAGAUUGAGGAGCCUGAGACUACCGACGACGUCGUGGCAGGUAUGAUUUAAUUAAAGAAUGUAAGUUUGAAAUAUUGCAUGCAUUUGUUAUGUGGCAAUUGCUACUAUUUAUGCAUAAGUAUAGUAGGGACCAAGAUGUCUGUAAGUGUAGAUACCUGGGCAUGCUUGUGUUGUGGGAGUGUAACACCUGCCGGAGCAGGUAGAGAGUUAGAUGGUACUAGCGAAUUGCUGGUAAUAGUCUAAGGCUUCGUUUGGGAUUGCGGGAAGAUUGCGUUACGUGCGGUGAGAAAGUACGUUGGAAAAAUACCCUGUUUGUUUCUGUACGUAAUAUUGCGUUCCGCAUAUCGCGAUGAGUCGGUUACGAUAUAUUUUCUCCGGUCCCACCGGAGAACGCAGAAGCAUAUCCCUAUAUGCUUUUUCCUCAACUCCAUUUUAUCUAAUAGCGUUAGAUAGACCUCAAUACCAAACUAAGUCUGUCACGCCCCGGGACCAGCGGAAGCCCUCCCGGUAGCGUGCCCAGACCUGCCAUAUGUCUACACAUAUAAGGCGUCUACAAUACAAGCGGAAGUAAAAGCAAGAGAUAGAACAAAUAGGAUAAAUAGCAACUAAUGAUAUCAGAGCGAGUAAAGUUCUAUCAUCUAAACCAGAGUAAAAGAAACAUAACUAGACAAUAAAAGAAAAUAUAAGUAGUACAAUAUCAGUGUCUAGUACAAAAAUGGUGGUCUCUAGUACACGGGUAAACUCUCAACCUCUCACAAAAUAAAAUGUCGAGAGGUAGAACACCUAUCGAAUCGUCCUCGAAGCUAGCUCGAAGCAACUCCCUUCCCGCGGUCCCUAGCCUCUCCCGACGUGGAAGGCUCUGAAAACAUCAAGAAAACGAGGGCGUGAGAACUAUAAUUUAUAGUUCCCAGUGGGCAAUUACUGACCUCAGCUCAAUGCACCACUAGGCCCCAAAAGAAAAGGGUAGGUCGAAAGCAAUAGUAAUAACGAGUAAUUUGCAUUUAUGAAAGCAUGAUGAAAAUGCUAAUCUAUUACUUGUAAUUAAACAUGGCAUUUAUGUAAUGCACAAUUAUCUUGUUAUGAAGAAUAUGUCUCUACUUAGCCAUAAAUAAUGUCAUGGUUUGCUUAAUGAAAUUAUGAGGAUUAUCCUUUAUCAUAGCAACAAUUUUUAUAUGAAUGCAAGUAAGCAAUGUCUCCUAACAUACUACAUGUAUGUAUAUAUACCCAAAGUCCAAAUCUAUGCUAGAAGCAAGUCCGAGUAAUCCAACUACUACUCUCUAUUUAGUAGUGUUUAUAACAAACUCAUCCCGUGUCGAUUUUCAUUUCCAAUUAAGGACCUACCCAAGGUAGUCCAGCUUGUGCCGCCUAAGUGCCUGUGGUAGCCCAACAUCCCUACUCUUGGAAUAUGUCUGUCCCACUCGACCCCGUAGGCUUCUCAAUACCGCACGAGCGAACAUAUAUCGCGUAGGCUAACUCCGGAGUGCCGGCUUGUAGGGAGCGACCCUCACAAGCAUGUGCGAAUGAGCACAAAUGGCAAGCAAGUAUAGUCCAAAUCUCAAGUAUCCAGUCCUCAUGUCUCUAACAUGGUAUAGUCACUAGCAUCUCGAAGAUCUAGUUUAAGUCACAAAGCGAAGUUCCAAACACUCACUACGCCUAGUGCCUCCUGAUGACACUUAGGCAAUUUGAAGUUCAACAUAAGCCAAGUCCCGCAAUGGCUCUAGCCACUAGGUUCACACAUGUCCUGAGCUCGAUGCCGCUUGAUGACAUUAGCUCUCUAAUUCGCAUACAUCCUAGUUCAAUACGUCUAUAUGGCAAUCUUGUCAUCUUUCAUGUCAUAAUUAAAUCUAACUUUAAAUACAUGAAUCAAGGCUCAUUUACGCUAUAGAAGUAUGGAACCAAGUAUCGUAUAGAAUGCCAAAUGCAAACCAAAGCUCUUUCAAGCAACUCUCUACUACAUAGAGGUCCGAAAUUUUACUAUAUGCAAUGUAGGCAUUUUAAGCAUUCUAAAAUUCACAAUAAAUACAUAUAAUAAGAAUAUGCAUGCCUUUUCAAUUAACGAUACUUAAUUCAUCACAAAUGAGAAUUUCUCAUUGUGUGGCUAGGUCAAACCCACCGAACCGUCGCGUGCUCUUUCGAUUCGCCGAACGGAGUUAUCCACGAGUCUCAAAAUACCCUAAAAGUAUUGAGCGAAGAGAUACACGGGAAUUACGAUCAAUUAUAAGAUCAAACAUUAACCUAGAAGCAAAAAGGGCCAAAAACCCACCUCAAGAGUAAAAAUCAUCUCCUAAGCUCCAAAGGAGAGCUANUGCUAAAUGAAAUCAUAGAUCUCUCAAGCAACCCUCUACUACAUAGAGGUCCAAAAUUUCAUCACAUGUAACACAAGCAUUUUAAGCAUUCUAAAAAUCACAAUAAAUGCAUCUAACAUGAAUAUGCAUGCCUUUUCAAUUAACGAUACUUAAUUCAUCACAAAUGAGAAUUUCUCAUUGUGUGGCUAGGUCAAACCCACCGAACCGUCGCGUGCUCUUUCGAUUCGCCGAACGGAGUUAUCCACGAGUCUCAAAAUACCCUAAAAGUAUUGAGCGAAGAGAUACACGGGAAUUACGAUCAAUUAUAAGAUCAAACAUUAACCUAGAAGCAAAAAGGGCCAAAAACCCACCUCAAGAGUAAAAAUCAUCUCCUAAGCUCCAAAGGAGAGCUAGAAUCCUUCCAAUCCAAGCCCAAGGAAGGUUCUAAACCAAAGAAUCUAGCUCCAAAGGCCCUAGAUCAAAAAGCCCCAAAAUCAACCAUAAAAUCCCAUUCUAGGGUUCCAAAAGGCAAAAUCUACCAAAACAAGAAUCAAAGGGUAGAAUCAAAGUACUAACCUCUUUAGAUGCCUCAAAACAAGCUCCAAAUCUUCUAAGGUUGAAGAUUGGUCCACCACCAAGCCCUACAAGCAAGCUCCAAGCCUUGCAAGGGUGGAAAGGAGAGAAAGGGGUUGAGCUCCAAGCUCCCUCAAGCAAGCUCCUCUUCUUAUUCUCCUCCUUCUUCUUCUUCUCUCUCUAGAAGGUGUAGGGAGAGGGUGUGAGGAGAGAAAUGAGAAGGGAAGAGGGUGGAUGGGUCAUAUAGACCCUCUAUUGCAACAAAAUCCAGCUAGGUCCCUCAAAAAUUCAAUAUUACAACAGCCCGGUCUGGGCAGUUUUCACCCAGAGGGACCGGUCUCUCCUCAGCAGGGACCGGUCUCUCGCUGCGAACCCGAAAAAUAAACGUUCGGGAACCGGUCUUUCCCUGCGCGGGACCGGUCUCUCAUGCGUAGACGCGCUCGGGGACCGGUCUCGCAUGCCAGGGACCGGUUGCCUCAGGGCUGCCACAACACUACUCACUGGGGGACCGGUCUUUCCUUCCAGGGACCGGUCCCCGAGAGUAAAAACUCUCAGGACUUGUCCAGAAUUCCAGUUUUUGAACUUCUUAGGUCAGAAAACAUUCUACGACCCUCCACCAAGUGUGGAAAAGCUCGAAACACAUCCAAUCACUCGAACCUCGCAAUUUGCAAAGGUCCAGUGUGUUACAAAGUCUAAGAAUAAAGGAUAAGACUCAUGGUAAGGAUGGAAAUGGUGGACUGACUUUCCAGACAAUAAGAGUAAUUGAUUGGGAGAGUUGAGUCAUGACACUAAGGACAUCCAGGUAGUCUGAAAGUUCUGGACGUCGAUCGGACGGACCGAUUAGUGAUGGAGGAAUCACUGAUGUGGAUGUAGUUGGACGAUCGCCAAGUUCUAGCGAGUCGGUCUAGUAGUACCUCAACCGAGGUGAGGGAAAUUCAUGUUUGUGAGUUUGUGGGCAUAGGCAAGAUUGCUUAGUGCUCGACAUGUCAUGGAGAGUGUAGUAGCGUAGGACGCUUGAGUAUAGGUAUCCGUGAGGUGUGGAAUUUGGCUCAGUCGAGAGGGUUUGUUGGCAGUAGCACUUGAGCAGUGCUAAGUGUGAAGCGGGGCAUGGAUUGCUCGUAAGGCUGGUGGCUAGCACUAGGUGCUUAGGAGCCAAUCAAGGUAAGUGUGGCUCGGUAGAGUGUGUUGUGUGUGACAACGGAGGCGAGUAUUGCUUGGGGACGAUCCCUUCUUGGACUACUUGUGGACUGCGGAGCCUGGGGCCAUACAGAUAGGCGCAGUCAGCUGUGUGUGACAGCGACUUGAUACCUACGGAUAGGGCGGAGGUUUUGGUCGGGCCAGUAGUCCGAGCUUAGACCCGGGAACGUAGGAUGCCACGUAUUGGACCGUGUGAUAGUUAGUACACCGAGGGUGUAGUGGACCCAACCCGAAAACUUGUAGUGGUUUGGGGUCUUGGUUGCUACUCGUUGGAGUGUGUUCGAAGUCCGGAAUGAGGACUCCGCCCAGUGAUGAUUGGGUCUGCACUUGCGAGCGAGAGACGCUGCAUAUUAUCGAAACAGGUUUAGGCAGUAGGCCCACAUAAGAUUGGUGGCCUGUGAUCCACCCAUGGUAAACUGAGGUAAGUGGUUUGGUUGAUAGCUCUAUCAAUGAAUUUGGCUUGGGUUCACGAAUGAAAUGUUCGUGUGGGAUCGUUGUGAGAGUGAAUUGAUAUUGGCCGUGGCAUAUGGUAUUGAAAAGUGAAGUGCUCUUUGUGAGACAAUGAGCUAGUGAAAAGCCAUAUGAGGUUUGGGGACUAUGCUCUUAAGUGAACUAGAAUGUGUAGAUGUGCCGAAAUGUGCCAUCUCACUGCAGAGCUAAAAGUCCACGUGUGAUCGGAGCACUUAUGAUCAAGUGAUGCACCAAUGAUAUUGCUUUUUAAGCAAUGCCGGUGGUCCAAUUAGAGUGAGUUCCACAAUGGAGCGGUGAGUGUAAAAGAGAGUUGUACAAGGUAGUGUAGACUCUUGAAUGACUGGGGUGCAAGAGUGCCUCUCUAUGGACUCUUGUGUGAAUCGAGGAGGUCUGCCCGCAUGUAAUUCGUUGUGGUGGUGGACCAUUCGACUAGUUGGUUUGUUCUGGACCGAUCCACACCAUAGGAAUGUAGGGUAGCCUUGAUCUCGAAGGAAAGUGGUAUCCAGUGCCAUUAAUGUGGUUUGUCCUCCAUGGAUAACGGUUGGUGAUGGCACGUGCCUGAUAAGCAUAGUAGGCGUGCCGUUGUCGAUUAUGUAGAAAAGAGCAGUAAGUCACUACCAUCUUUGGGAAGUGCCACCCGAGAGAGGGGUGAAGUAAUUUGGCAUACGAGGCAAGGUAAAUCCUUCGCAUGCCUGAUUGUGAGAGGUGUGGAGCGUGUAGAGUCAUUGAAUAUCGACUCGCGCUGCCACCGGAACUAGCAAGAACCAUAAUGCACUUUAUGUGCUAAGUUUUGCAAUUGUGGUUGUGUUUGAUCCCACGCCCUUCGGUGUGAGCCGCUUGAGCAACCAUGAAAGCAUGAAGCCGCUCUGGAGUGGGAGAAUGUGUUGGUGCCCUCGUUGAUUCAAUAAGUUGAAGUAAGGUGUGAUUUGAGUUUCGGGGACGAAACUCUUUUUGAGUGGUAGAGAGUGUGAUAUCCCAAACUCUUUUUGAAUGGUGGAGGGUGUGAUAUCCCGAACUUCCCUAAUUAUGAAGUUUCGGUAGAAAAUAGCUUAAAAAGCUAUUAAAUAAGUUUCAGCGAAAAUAAAUUUCAGCGAAGUUUGGAGAGCAAUUCGAGUGUUUUGGACGCAAAUCGGGCGCAAAAACGGGCUCCAAAAGCUGAAAUCUGCCUAAGUUGCAGAAUUUGUGCUGAGCACCGGUACUGGAAUCGAGUACCGAUACUGGAUUGGCUAGGUACCGGUACUGGAAUCGGGUACCGGUACGCAGUGGUAAAAAUGAGAAAUCUAGCUUUCGGGUUUUGAGGUGCUGGAGUUGGGUACCGGUAUGCGAACCCCAGUACCGUUACUCAACCUCCCAGAGUGCUGUUUUUGAGGGAUAAAAGUGUAAUUUUUGGUGGGGGGGCUUAUAUAAGGGGUGCCCAUCCCUUUCCCUUAGCCGAACACACACACACACACACACACACACACACACACACACACACUGUAGGAGAGGGAGUGGAGCUCAUCUCCCUCAUACUCUUCUUUUUCCUCUCCGACUCGGCGAGUGGUGGAGAUUGGACUUGGGAAGCUUGGAGGAGUGUUGGUUUAAGCUCUCGGGCGCUUGGUGUCUCGGAAUGCUUCCGACUCAAGGUUCGUUUUUAGGGUUUGAGCUAGGAUUUUGGGUUUAGACCUUCUAAAUGGAUUUCUAGCAAACCUUAGGUUAAUCUAAGCUACAAAUUGUAGAGGUUAGCAUAUGAUUUUGGGUUUGCCAUUAUUUAUGGGAAACCCUAGGUUAGAAAAGGGGUUUGCUAAUGGAGGGUUUAAAAGUUGUUUUAACUUUUUGGAACCCUAAUUGAGGGUUAGAAAAUCAUGUGAGGCCACUUGAUUUCAAAAACAAAAAUCAUUUAGUGGUUCGAAAAUGAUAACGAGUAGAUCUCUUGUAUAGGGUAAGAAAAGCUUGGAAGCAAGCUUGGAGAUCCAAGAGAUUGGCCUAAUUGCAAGUGUCUACAAGCAAUUAGGAGGCUUGAAAGAUGGGUUGUGCUUCACCGAAGUGACUAGGUCGCUUUAAUGCCAAAGUGAAGUAUGGUUUUUUUAUUGAUGCAGGCAUGUAAUGAUAGAUUAAUUGGUUAAAUAAGUAGACAUAGAUGACAUGCUACUUAGGGUAAAUUAUCUAUCAUUGGACAAGAAUAUAGGCAUGUGGAACAUAUAGGAUAUAUAUAUGUAUGCCUAGAUGUGGUUAGUAAACAUAGGUCGAUGAACUCUAGGAAAAUUAGAGAACUCGACAGUUGGAAAAUAAGGACUAGAUGUCAUGAAUCCUAGGUAAGGACAACUAGGAUAACGAGUGGCAUGGAUGGAGAUUGAACCUAGUAUUAUUGAAUAUAGGUUGGACAUUGGACCUAGUGUUGUAGAACCUAGGUUAUGAAACAAAGUAGUAGGAUAACCACUAGGGUAUGAAUGACUUGAACCUUGAAAGUUUGACAACUUAGGGUAAGAGAUAAACCCUUAAGUCUUAGAAAGUGGAUUCCGGAAUCCCUAGGAUUGGUGCCGGCGAAUAUGUGUGGUUCUUCUCACUCAGCAGCAGUAUAUACUUGCGGGUAUGUGUGGUUCUCCUUGUCCGGCAAGUGAAUCUUAACUGCGGAUAUGUGUGGUUCUCCUCGCCCGCCAGUGAUUUAACGCAUAUGUGUGGUUCUCCUCGCCCGGUAUGGGACUUGUGGUCAAGGGUAUAUAUGUUGAUAUUUCCUUGUGAAAGUUUUGAGAAGCCCAAGGAUCUAUCUAGAUUGUAUCUAUCACCUAGAGGGGGGUGAAUAGGUGAACGGCCAAAAACCACAAAUCUCGAUGCAAUAAAAAUAAAUGCGAAAAAUAAAAAGCACACCGAGAUUUACGUGGGAAAACUCUAAUUUGGAGAAAAAAAAACACACGGGNGAGAAUGCGAAACGAUAUCUCGAUUUGAUCUAAAAGAGGCUUUAUGUAGAAAAUAGGUUUAGAAUGAAAUCCAAGCCUCUAGAGUUUCUCAAACGUGUAUUCUUAUGAUGCUUGAUAAGUUAGAGAACCCCAAUAGCUUAUUUAUAGACUUUAGAAUCAAAACGGAGUCGGAUUAGAAAGUUUUCACGGUUUUACACUGUGUACCGGUACACGAAAGGCUGUCACCGGUAAAUAAUGACGGAACGAAAAUACAUUGCCAAUGUUGAUGGCUGUACCGGUACGGGGCACUUGCUGUACCGGUACACAAUGCAUUUUUUCCAGAUUUUGCAUUGUUUCGGGUUUUCAACGUUCCGAGGCACUUUCCAAUCCAUUAAACUUUGAGUUUAUGAUUCUAAUGCCUAUAACUAAGUAUGAAUCACCAUAACAUGAUUUUAAAACAUUACCUGAGCGUCGUGAUUCACAUUGUGAGGUAUUUUCUGAUUUCUUCGAAAUCUUGGAUUUUUCGAUCUUUGUCAAUCCGCUUCGAUCCUUCAAGACUCCGACUUACUUCACGAAACUUGCCAACACACAAUCCCUAACACCUUGCCCGACGGAUGACCUAUAGUUGAGUGGAUUUAAGGCUGAGGUGCAUGUGAGACGUCCUUCACCUCGAGUCUUGACAAUGAGCGGUGGUCUGCUAGUAAUUGACUCAAGACCGAGUCGGAUGGUAUAGCUUGGCUAAGGUAAAUGAACCUUAGAAGUAGAUUGUAAAGAAUAUGAGUAGAGAAAUAGAAAGUAGAAAUGGUAGAUCUACUUGUGUUGCAUUUAUGUUGCAUUAUCGCAUGUUGUGAGGCAUAAGUAUGUUAGUUGUUAGUUGCAUAUAUAUAUAUAUAUAUAUAUAUAUAUAUAUAUAUAUAUAUACCUGUUGGACUAACUUGCUUAUUUUGCCUCCUUUGGACUUUUGGGUCAAGCUUUUCCCUUGGGUGGCCGUACCCGCUGGGAACUAUGUGUAUAGUUCUCACCCCACAUUUUUCAGGUCCACCCGUGAGCGGCGUGGCGGCGCGAGGAAAGGACGUAGCUGGGUAGCUAGCGCCCUACCACUUGAGACCAGAGAUAGAAGUACCCGGAGUCCGCUUAGCUUAGGGGUGUAGAAAAGAAAAGAAAGAAACUAUUUGUAUUAAGCUAAUUGUAUUUGGAAGCAAGUGAUUGUAAACUUAAUGUAAAUGUGAUGUAAAAUUGAGAUGAAUGCUUGUAAUAGCUUAGUAAUUAUAUUGUUGAUACCUUAUGUAAUCUAUGUAUGAAUUCUAUUCAUGUCUGGAACCUCGUGAAUUGUACUGUUGUUAUGCCUUGGACGUACAAGGAAGACUAUGUCUGUUCGGCAGUCUGUCGCGCGCUCGAAUCCGACUAAAGUGGCGGGUCCCGGGCCGUGACAAACCUCAAAGUCGUUAAACUAAGCAAAUUAAAAUUAAACUCAACCUCAACCUAUUUCAAACGUCCGCCAUGUGAUUAAACUGAGUAAUCUGAUCCCAAUCGACCAUCAACUCUAUAAACUAAGUAUUUAGUUUUAUAAAACCUAUGUAUAGUGGGGGAAUGCCCCUGCUUAAGCCAUGUACACGGCAAAUCAUAUUAAUAAAAUUUUAUUUGCCUGUUUGCUUUCUUUUAUUAUUAGCAUUUACAUUCGGUCUCUUAAUCGAGGGUUCCUUAACACUGAAAGUGUGCGCUAAUUAAUAGCAGAUUAUUAAGUCUGUUGGAUGGCAUGAACCUGCAAUCUUGAUUUCAAAACAAAAUUUAAAUAAAUUUAAUCUGUAUCAUGAAUGACCACUCGCCUUGGAAAUACCUACGGCGGGGCCGGUUCCUUUGCGGCAGACACAAGCAACGAAGCUGACUGCUUGUGGGAUGAAGCUGAAGAGAGUUGGAGACUAGAGAAAGAAAAGGGCGAGUGGUUGCACUGGUUGAUCCCGUGUUGCACUCUUUUGUGCAAACGUUGCACUAGUUUGUCAGCACGUUGCUCUACGUUUUAGGAAUAAUACAAUUAGUUAUGUGUGAAGAGACACCCCGAGGGGAAUGCGAACUUAAAGACUAAAUGGGACGAAAUCUCUUUUUGUAAUACGCCACUCCUUACAUGAUAUGCUUUAAUAUCCUUUUCGCCGAUAGUGUUCAAAAAGCAGUAAUAGACGAAGGGCAAGAUAGAAGAAGAAGAAGAAUAGCGGCAUGCGGGAAAAGGGAUUUAUAAAGGAAAAGAAACAACAAGGGAACACGGGACGAAGCAAAGUAGACCACCGCGGUGAGCGGAAGGAGUUGCACUAGUAAGAGUGGCAAACUGCACUAUUCUGAAAUUUUGUUGCAUUAUUUGCCAUGGCGUUGCACCAAUUGUCUGGCUUGUUGUUCGCGUUUUUUUAUUAAUAUAGUUUGGAAAUCUUUGUUUUGGAAUGUUGGAUAAAAUAAUAAAUACCCAAAAACAAAUUGCAAAAAUCGCAUAGAUUUUUACGUAUCUCUUUUAUGCGAAAUAUAUUACGAUUACCAGAAUUGAAUAUUGUCUUGUUUUACGAACUCGUUAAUCCGCCAACAACCUGUCUCAAUUUGUUGCGAGUUGUUCUUGCUCGUUGGAAUCCGGCUUCUAGAGUCGAUCGCUGCACACCGUCCAAAUCCCUAGGGUUUUGAUGGUGUCCUAGAGCGAAUCCAAGAGAGAGAAUUUUAUGGAGAGAUGAUUCUAAUUUUUUCCUUGCCUCGUAUGUGGUCAAUACCUUAUAUAUUUAUAGACCAUAAGGGAGACGUUAAUCCUAAUUAUAUUCUAACUAAAUCUCAGAUAAAUAGAGAUUUAAACAUAUUAGGAUUUAUCUGUUAGAUUUAUUUCUUAUCCCAUGUAGACUAGGAAUAUUUUAGAUACUUAUAAAUAUUUCUUUCUUAUCCCAUAUGGAUUAGAAAUAUUUUAGAUAAGUUCCAAUGUGGACGAAUCCUAACAUGGAAAAUAUAAAUAGCAAACAGUGAGCCUGGUGAAUAGAGUUGAGUGAUUUAGUUCGAAUUUCGAAAAUUGGGUAGCAUAACUCGGCACAGCUAGCAUUUAGUACCCGCCGCACGGGCCAUACAGUAAAUUAGAUACCAAAUUUGUAAAGCAAAAAAGACAGCGUACUUUUGCAAAAUCUCAAAACAGGUGGAUUCUUUAUGCAAUUCGUUGUGUGUGUGUUCUCUAUUAUAAAGGGUCAACUCAUCAUUCGUAACCACAAAAAUUCAAACAUUUUUUAGGUCAGAAGCAAACUCAAUAACAAUUCAGGUCGGUUUGUGUAAAUCAAAAUCUGAUAUUUGAUUCAAAUUUUAAUGGUAUCAGCCAGUCCCAACAGAUUAGAGGAAUAGCAAUUAAGGACCCUAAAUAACACAAAUAAAUCACAAGGCACAUGUAAAAAUGACGUAUACCACGUGAUUAUUUUCUGAAGUUUACCUUAUUAUGUGAACAAGUCGUAAUAGUUACAGCGUCUAAUGCUUCAUUCAGUAAUGAGGACCAAGUAGUGGUCGUUAGAUGUCACACAAAGAGAUCUUUCUUCUUUUCUUUUUUAUUAAUUACGUUGUAUGAACAAAUAAUGAGGCACGAAACUUCCAUGUUGGAUCCGACGUGCACAAAUAGAUAUCUUCAUAUUCUAGAAGAAAAGUAAGGUAUCAAAUUGUAUAUAUGUUGGUGCACGCGCGGAAUGUACUAGAUCUUCGGAGCAUAAGUUUUACUUUGUAAAAAGAUCUAUCAUCAAGACUCAUCCAAACCAAAUAGAAACUGAUUUUAUUAUUGGUACGAAACACGUUGCUUUUACGAAAUUCAUAUUUGUGUAAUUAAAUAAAUGAGAUGAUUGUGAUAUUUUUCUAAUACAAAAUUGUAUUUUGAGAAGGUCUUCUUGAUCGGGUGGAAACUCGCAACCAAAAGGAAAUUGCCCAGUCCAUAAGAUGAGCGAUUUUAAGCACAAGCAUAAUUAUAUUUGAGCAUGUUAUCUAAGCAAGGAACUAAAGAGGGCUGGGUCGAAAGUAUACAUAUUAAUAUUAUAAUUACCAUGUAAGACAGCCCAAAGAGCUUUCGUUACAGAUAGAGAAACAUUACAGACAUCAACACUGACGAACCCCACUUACAAAUUAAGCGAAUAUGCAUUUGUGCUGAAUUCAGAAGAAGAAAACGAGGAGAUUAAUGAUGAUAGAACCACGAAAAGAUCUGUCUUAAUUUGCUUCCUUGACAAAGCCCAACCUCUGAAGAUUCCUCGUGUCCUCCUCUUACCGUCGUUUCCUUCGAUAAGGUCGUGUGGCAACAAAGUUUUAAGUUUUAUCCAACUGACAAGUGUCAUCAUCAGCCCAAUUAAGCAAGCAACCACAAGAGCUGACCCUCGACAGUUUCUGACCAAAUUCUAUGGAAACCACCCCAUGCACCAAAGCCUUAAUUUCUAGCUUUGUUUUUGCAACCAUGAGUAUCAUCGAAUACCUCAAACUAGCAUUCGCAAAUUUUGCUGAGAUCGUUACACAGCAUCAUCAUCUAGCUGUUCUGAAAAACCGCGGCAGCAAUGAGGUAUAAGAAUGACAAAUCGGAGGAAGGAAGCUCGAGCAAACAAUUGGACAUCAUAGUGACUCCAAAGAGAGGCAGCUGCGAUCAAUCGGAGAGCUUCGGUUCUGGCAUUUGGGAACCACGCCUUAUUGAUCAGACCCCGACCCCGAGCACACAAGAAGGGAAUGAUGCCAAUACCGCAAGAAGAACCCAGGCACCCGAAAAGAAGCUGACCCUCUUUGCGUUUCGUCUGGCUAUCCUCGAGAAAGCUGCCAGCGGGCUCGGAACGCUAGCAUUCAUUUUGGGCCACCGUCCUCCUUUUCUCGGUGGCUUUGCUCUGAAGCUAAAGAGGGAGGACUUGUGGUAUGUGACCAUAAUUCUCAGCACUGAAGGCACUAGAGUCUUCAGCCGGAGCAGCGAGCUCGAGUGGCACCACCAGGCAACGUGGACUCUCGGACGGGUUGGGCGGAACAGCUUCCGAUCGAGCACUCAAAUCCGGCUCCCGUUAUGUUCAUCGUGUGGUGAAGGCAAUAUUCAACCCACUUUCUGUGAUCCAGUCAGAAGGGCCGGCGAAGGCGAUCGUGGUCGGACCAGAGGGAAAGUGGAGGAUCUUCCAAUCAAGUCAAAGUCAAACGUUACACUACGCCGCAAACACGGCAACCUCACGGCGUUCCGCUGGUCCAAUGUGCAGGCUGGGCCUUGCUGUCAAAGGACAUGGUAAAGGCCCUUCGGUGGCUUCAAAUUCUUUCAGCCAUUGCCUCCGUGAUCCUCUCAUCGGUGCGUCUCACUAAGCAGGACUACGGCGAGGUACAAAAGGAAACCAGGAACAGGAGACCAGCGCUGAACUUAUUCUAUGCACUGUCAUUGGCGGAAGCCGUUCUGUUCCUUCUGGAGAAAGCCUACUGGACGUGGAAGGUCUCCUGCAGCGAGUUGCUCGAGCGAGUUAGCCAGGAUUGUAAACUCGGGUCUUCUGGGCUAGUAUCAAUGAGAAGAUUCUUCUACGAUUCGUACUCAAAUAAUAAGAGUAUAACGGGAAGCAUCUUUGAGGGCUUACAGAUGGACCUUGUUACAUAUGCUGAGGAGCUAUUAGACUCUGAUCUCUCCCAUGAGCAAUUGGACGGGGCCCAGAUUCUUCAAAAUUUUGUGGAGAGCGAUGACUACGCUUUUGACACACUAAGGAAGAUCGGGACUUCCAGGAAGGUGAUGGAGAGAUUAAUUGAGAUGCUGAACUGGAAGAACCUGGCAGAAGAAGACAUAAGAAGAUGCGCGGCAGAAAUUGUUAAAAUGCUUGCAGGAAAGAAGCAAAAUAUGCUUCGUGUCGCUGGGAUACCAGGGUCGAUGGAAUCUGUAUCGUCAUUGUUGCAUACUGAACGGAGCACCACUGAGGGAUCCUCCAGGACUGAUCAGAGUUCGACAACAACAGCUGAAGAAACAAACUAUGAUUUCUCAUCAUUCAAUCUUCUCGCUCUGCAAAUUCUUACGAAGCUUGCUAACAAUCAUGACACCAGCGGAAAGAUAGGAAAUGCACGAGGCCUCCUGUCCAAAGUGAUAGAGUUGGCAAAUGCUAGCCAAUAUUUGCUAACUAACGAGCACGCAACAGAGUCCCAGAUCAAAACAGUAAGGAAAGCACUACAAGUGAUCAAGAUGCUGGCGAGCACGACUGGUAACACCGGUAAAAUGUUGAGGGAGGUAAUAUUAGAUAACGUCUUCGCGGUGAGCCACAUGCGGAGGAUCUUGCAGUAUGGAGAGAGCCACAUGGAUUUGCAGAGGCUGGCAAUUGAGAUCCUCACAAACCUUGCCAUGGACGAGGCAUCGAAGGAAAGGAUUGCGACGGCUGGGGGGAUUAUAAAGUUGCUGCUAUCUAUCUUCACGAAACCAGGUAUCGAGAAUCAGAAUUCAGUGAGUGAGGAAGCUGGUGAGGCGCUAGCGAUGUUGUCACUAGAAAAUCAAAACAAUUGUGCUCUGAUCUUGAGGGAGAAAGGUGUCGUGAAGAAGCUCAUCAGUGCAUUAAGUAACCAGGUGCUCCAGCUAAAUGCUUCGAGGAUAUUGCAAAACUUGUGUGCUUACUCCAGAGCUGAAUCCUUAAAUCGCCUUAAUGGAGUCAUUGAAGCCAUGCCCACUGUAAGAAAUAAUCUAUCUCCUUAGAUAGUUCUUCAGGAAAAUCUUCUAGUUGCUUUUAAGUUUCAAGCAAACAUAAUCUUUCUCAGUUUCUUACCCUUCUUUAACACCUGCUGACUUUGAUUGGGAGAAUAAGAAAUGUUAAGAACUCAUUUCAUAAGAGUGAGACAAAAGAAAAUUUGACUAAAGAAAAUUUAAUUCUAGAGUGUGACAAAGUUAGUUUUCAUAGGGAAGCAUAACAAUCAUUAUCCAUGGCAGGGUUUCCAAACAAGAUACAAAGCACUUAGAUGAAUACCUUACAAGAAAACCAUCAAACAUAAAAGCAAAGGAAAGAAAGAAAAGUUACAGCUCAAAUACAUGUGAGGCAAUUUGUAAACCCUUAAAUUGUUAAUUAAGUUAUGACAAUUAAGAUCGAGAUUGUGGUUGGAAAAGUUAACAAGUCAAUAAUGAAAAAACUGACUCAAUUCAUCCUAUUUCGUCAGAUCCUGGAUGUGAUAUGGUUCCAAAGGAUGAAUCAGAGAAAUAUUGGGGUCUGAAACUCAUGCAAUUACUUCCUCUGGUUAACCAAAGCCAAAAAAGAAAAAAGAAAAGAAAAAAAAAGAAAAAAGAGGCUCAAAAGUCAAAAAGAAGUUUGCAAGAAUCCAAAGAUCGUUUUUGGUAAGGUAUUUUUAUAUUCUUCACCAAUAUAUUAAUGAAAACGAAAAUAAUUUGUUAAGUAAAAGGAAUAAAAACAAUUGUUACCAUGAUUGCAUCAGUGUGCAUAACAUCACUCACUUUUAGAUGGAGUGUCAGCACAUUUUUUAACAUUCUCUUCUUCCUAUCCCGUAUUGAUCUCUGCUUCAUGUCAGUUCAGUGAUUACAUAGGGAAAAACCAACUAUAAUUCUUGAUCUUCUUAACUCUUCAGCUCCAGACUGCUUAGAAAAGAAUACCAUCAAAAUCUAUCCUCGAACAAAACGAUAUUUUACUCUCUCAGUGAAGAUACCUUAGUGUUUAGUGCUUUCGCAUGGUGCAUGUUUCCAGACAUUGUAAUACUUGUUGACAUUAAAGUAAACUUGAAUCUGCAAAAUAUUUUGGUCCUACGUAUCUUGAAAACUCUAGUAGUUCAUCUCGCCUGAUCUCAGAUCAGAUAAGUAAACCAUGUUAGCAUAAUGUUGGCAAUAUUCCAGGAUAAACCAGUUUACCGACUUCUUUAACGAAUUGAAAGAACAUGGGAUAAUAGUACAUAGUCCUGCUCAUUUUUCUUCAAUUCAUUUUACUUCUAGUAAGGUUAUUGUGUCCUAAUGGUGAGCAUUCUUAUCAUGCAUAUGUUUACGAGUUAAUCUACUAGGGCGAGUACAACCUCAAGGACAAAAAUUGCUAGCAGAUGUCAAGAACAACCAAGGAAAAUAUAGAUCAAAGAUAGCAUAGUCAAAAACAAUUAAUAUAUGCCCUGAUUGGAAUGCAAAUCUUCAAAAUUCGGUCUAUCGUAGCUGAGAAGAAAAUAAAUAAUAAAAAAAUUGAAUUUUCUUGAAUAUUUUGGAAGCAAAAUGAGUACAGAAAGUCGAAAGCUUUGUAAUUAGCGGAGUUCCUUAUUUGUGUAAAGGGCUCAGCAGUUGAAAAUUAAUGUUGUUCUCAAACAGGUUUAUCUCAUUCCUCCUUCUGCAGGUGUUGAAAGCAACAAUGACUCAACCUGACAAGCUACUAGAGGUUUCGCUGGGUCUCACUGUACAGAUCUGCAAAUUAUUGGGACCAGAAGGCUUUGCGCAGGAAUUUGAAAAAGCUGACUAUACUGAGACCGGCUUUGUGGAGAAGCUGAUUACAAAUACUGAAGCAAUACAACAAGCACCCAGAAAUCAAAGUUCCGAGAAUAAGAAGGUUUGCCAUUGAACAAGCGAUUUGGAUGAUGAAAUCUCAGGCGUGCUACGUAGAAUUAUUUAGAAAAUUUGAGUUGGAGAAACUUCUGGAGUCGGUGGCAGAUACCACAUCGGACCUCGAGUGCUUAAUUCCAUGUUUUCUCCGGCAGUGUGGGACUGAGCCAGCACAGAGAAUCUGUGUCUUCUCUUGUAGAAGAGGCAUUGAAGUUGCUUACUGAUGGUGGUUCAAGCCAAGAGGUAUAAAGCAAGUCUAUUACUCCUAUAUUACAGCAGUUAUAGUCAAUCACGCUGUGGCGCGAGAAUACCGCAAUCUAGUCCAUUUUUUAAACCUAAAAUCGAGCACAAUUGAGUUAUUUAACCCUUUCUUUCGGAAACUUUUGGAUGCAACAUUCUCAAACAAUUUUAUUUAUUUAUUUCUUUAUUUUUUGGGUUCAUGCAUUAAAUUUCUUGCAAUAUGAAUAUAUACUUCAAUUCUUUCGUCUUUAAUUUCUCACUAAAAUAGUCCAAUUGGAAUUUCAUUUAUUUGCUUCCUCCCAUCGUUCUCCGAGGAUGGGAUAUAUUAAUAUAUAUCAGCGACAUCCUAAUACUUGAAUAUACCGAAGAUAUCAGCAAAGUGCAUGAUUGAUUAUACUUGAGAAUAUAUGGCAUACCCAAUAAAAGGCUUAUUUUAGCAAACAGGAUUAAAGCAUAUCAACCAACAAUUAAUAAAAGGCUUAUUUUAGUCCAGACACCCAAGAAUGAUGGUUUGAUCUUCCAAUGGAAUCGACUCUUAACGGACUAAUAUCAAUACCCACAUACAUAAUUAAUUAAGAUGUGGAAAACCUAUUUUUUCCAUGUCACCAAAUUCUGGGUGCUGAUGUGACUCCGGCCUGUUGCUCAUUUCUCAUUGUGUUCGAGACUAACUUCAUUCACUAUCAGAAGGAAAUGAUGAUCAGAUUAAUCGUGAAAUAGAAUCCUCAGUCCAAAUAGUUAUUUAAUUAAUGAUGAUGACAGCUAGCACGAGCUUUGUCAUUGAUUCUCGAGCAAUACACAAGAGGCACUCUCGUUAUGCCCAAUACAAUCGUUAGAUUUUUGUUUAGAUUUGUUAUUUAUCUGAACUGCUAAUUUAACUAGGAUAAAAUAAAAGUUAGAUUUUUAUAAUAAAUAGAAGUGCAAUUAGCCUAGGAGUCUAUAUAAUUCAACUAGCAUCAGAAUUAGAGCUAUGUUAGAAACCGUGCAUUAUAAAUUGCAUGCUACAGCCCUCUUAAUUAAUUAAAGCCACAUAUAACUAAUUUAAGUGGGAGGUGGUGUUGGUGGUACAAUACGAGAGAUGGCAUCAUCAGGUGCUUUGCGGUAGCAGCAGCCGUCAUGUAUCUUGGACGGAGAGCCGAGCCAUGUGUAAUUUCCUAUCCAUUCAUGAUUUAGAUUUUUUUUUAUUUUUUUAUGGCACUGUGCUAUAGUCUGUAUAUGAUGUAUUUGGAAUUUGGUUUUAAUUGAGAGAUAUUUUUUACUUCUCUUUCAAUGUUAAUAAAAGUCGCUCGAUUUUUUCAUAUAGACGUAGGCUAGUGACCGAAUCACGUAAGUUUUGGUAUGCUCUUUUCUUUUUCUUUUUCCUGCAUUAUUUUUUCUUUGUAUUUAUUUUUCGUCAUUUUGCUUUAAUAUAUUGGUAUUUGAGUUUUCUAUUUCCUUGUAUAUUAAGAUGACGAUGAAGUUUGAGAUCCAGAAAUUUGAUAGGACCAACAGUUUUGCAUUAUGACAGAUUAAGAUGCGUGCUAUGUUGACGUAGCAGGGAUUGCAUAAUACACUAUUGAGAAAAAAAAAAAAGAUGCUCGAUUCAUUGAUGCCAGAGCAGAAGGACGGAUCGAUGACAAAGCACUUACAGCAACAUAGUAGGUUUAUCUAAUGAGGUAUUGCGUGAGGUCCUGGAUGAAAAGACCGUUCUAGGGUUGUGGCUUAAGUUGUAGUUUCUCUAUAUGACAAAGUUCCUCACCAACAAGUUAUAUUUGAGGCAACAUCUCUUCAUGUUGUGGAUGAGAGAAGGUACUUCUAUAAAGUCGUAUUUAGAUGAAUUUAAUUUUAUAAUUAUGAAUUUCAGCUCAAUAGAUGUCAAAAUCAAGGAGAAUGAUGACGCCCUUUUAUUACUAUGUUCUUUAUAGCCGUUUCGUAAGAAUUUUAUGAGACUUGGUUUGGACGGGAUACUUUGUAUCUUAAUGAUGUCAAGUCCUCUCUAUUUUCAAAAGAAAGGAUUGACAUGAAGAUAAGCAAUGAGACAUGUGGAGUUUCAUGAGAAGGUUUGGUUGCUGGAGGGAAGCCUCAGAAGAAGGAUUCUAGCAAUAGAGGUACAUCUAGAUGAAACUCGAAGUACAAGAAUCUGAUUUGUGGUUAUUAUAAGAAGAAGGCUCAUAUAAAAGGUGAUUAUUUCAAAUUAAAAAAUAAAGAAUAGCAGAAGAAGAACUGUGAUAAGAAUUAAGGGCAGAAAAACAUUAAUACUGAGACAGAAAUAAAUGUUAUAGCAAGAGAAUCAGAUAGUGGUGACAUCAUCUUAUAGUUAUGGAUAAUUCACACAGACAAAAUGUGUGGCUUCUGGAUUCCGCAUGUUCCUACUAUAUUUGUAAUCGCAAAGAGUUGUUCUUGAUAUACAAGCUUAUGCGAGGUGGAGUUGCAUUAAAAGGAAAUCACCCUAAGUCUACAAUUAUUGGUAUUGGCACUAUUUAGGUAUGGAUGUGUCACGUCCCGGAUUAUAGUGGAAGCCCAUCGAGCACGUGCACAGACCCGCGGUGUACAUCCAACACCUCCGAUACACACAAGGUGUCUACAACCAAUAAGGAGAGAAGUAUAAACCAUUCUUAAUAUGGUAAUCAGAGCAAGAACAUAACUAGAUAGGUAAACUCAAACUAAAUGCAUCACAUAGACUACAAGCUUCAAACCAUAUGUACAACAUACAUACUAGGAGUUUCCAGAAAAGUACAAAAAUACAACUUUGAACUAAACCAAAGAAGGCUUCUAUGGGACCAUCUAUCAAAACAUCAAGGAGGCUCUAGCUAGUCGCUGACUCCUUGCCACGAACCCUAAUCUUUCCCGCUGCGGAAGGCUCUGCAACAAAAAUAAUCAAUAAAUAAAACUGAGAACUAUUAAACAAUAGUUUCCAGUGGGUAAGCCGCCAGAGUGGCGAAAUAUACCACAAGGUCAACUUAGGCAUGAGUAAAAAUAUAGCAAGUAGGAAAUGUACAUGCAACAGUUAAUUGAAAUAGUUCAAGUAUAAACAUGCCUCAACAUGAUAUGUUUUCUAACAUGCCCACUAUAAUAAUCAUCAUAUAUGCAAGUUUUGUAGUUCACGCAAGUUACAUGUUUGUCUAUCAUUAAACUAUAUGCUCUAAUUAAAGAACAAUUCCAUCAUUAUAUUCAACUAGCUAAUGUCAUCAUAUAACUACCUUUCUACACUAACAUAACACUGUCAUUGCAAUUAAUGGCUAACAGGAAUGUCAACUUUCUAGUAUGUUCAUUUACUAGGUAAGCCUCAACUAGUCUCAUAAGGUAACAUCUACUAAUAUGUCCAUCUAAUGUUCAGUUUAUUUACCUUUACCCAACUAACGAGGGACUUACAAGUGGUAAAGUCCCGGCUCGUGCCGUGCCUAAUGGCUUUGUGGUAGUCAACACUCCCCACAGCAAUCCACUUCGGUGCUCAGUCCCGCACGGGCGAUCUGUCGUCGCAAGGCUAACUCCGGAGUGCCAUCUUGUAGGGAGCGACCUUUACAAGCUUGUGUGAAUGAGCAUAAUGGCAAGCAAGCGUGAUCAAUAGCAUAGUGUACAUAAGUUCAUCAUAUCUAAAACAUGGAAUUUUAACCCCGACGCAAAGUCGGCAACUAAUAUAAAAGUCAUAUUUCAUUCUCAAUUACUUGGUGACAUAUUUCUACCAAUAAAUAGUAUGACUUAAGCAUGUAAAUAAUUUAUAUCAUAUUGAUGAUUCUAACGGGCUACACUCGUAUAUCCACAUGUAGCCUUUUCAUUACUCCCUAUAACACGAGGAGGGUGGUUUGCUAAGGUCAUAGUCAACGAUCCACUAAGGUGUUCACAAAAUCAUAGCAUAUGUCAUAUAUUUCUACAUAGGCCUCUAUUACAUGGAGUAUACAAUUAUCAUGCAAUUACGUACCUGCAUUUGACUAUACAAGUAUGUCCUUUCGCCGUUAUUAAAUUGAAUGCAUAGAAAUUAUGUCGUCAUGUCUACAACAUGGAAUUGCAUAAUUUAACUCAAGAGUUAAGCGCCAUAUCACAUUAUCAACUUAGUUGUUUAUCUAAAGUAUGUGCCAUACUCAUAGCUCUACAUCAAUUCACUAUUGAAUGAUACCAUAUUUAACUUGUCUACACAAGUUUACUAAUAUCAUGUAAUGCAUGCUAAACAAGCAAGUUAUCCAAGUAUGCUAAGCAAGUUUCAUAAACCUUUCUCUAUUACAUAGAGGUUCAACUUUAUCCUAUGUAAUAUGCAUGUUUUAUGCAUUCACAAAUCCAUUCAUGAUAUAUUCAACAUGAAUAUGCAAGAAUUUCAACUUUAUAACAUCAAGGAAGACGUAGGGGGAGUUCACCCAUUUCGGUGAGGUCAAACUCAACGGAUACUCCUCGAACUCCUUCGUUUGUCCAAAUAAAGUUAUCUUCUAGCCUCUUAGCACCCUAGUAAACAUUCCAAAUGAAUUAAAAGCUUCUCACAAGCCUCCCCACGAAAUUGCCAAACACUAACCUCAAAUUUCACUAAUUCAACCCAAAACACACACCAAAGUGCGCAAUCAGCUUACUAACCUUCCAAAGAGCUCCAAAUCCAGCUAGACUUUAGCUAGGGUUGGAGUUAGAUCCUCAAACAAGCCUCCAACUUCACAGCCAAGCUUUCUCCAAGAUUCACAAAACAAACCUCUAAGGAAAAAAGGAAGUAAAAGGAUCAAUUGAUCAAUUCCACAAGAAUUUGAGAUGAAUUCUAGAGAGAGAAAGAGGGGAAAGCCUACCAACCCUUUUCUUCAGCUGCAGCACAAAAGGAAUGCCGGGGGGGGGGGGGAGGGCGGUAGAAGAUAAACCCAACAGCCAAAUUACCAAAUUGCCCCUUACCAACUUACAAAAACUCAAUCUGCUGCAUUGAGUAUCGAUACUCGAAUUAGAGUACCGGUACCUGGCACUCAGACACGCCAAACCUGAGCGCUAGACGUUUGAUUUUAAUACAAUGUACCAGUAUUAGUCCGAUGCAGUACCAGUACCCAGCCCAUUUGUAACAACGCGAAUUCUCGAAGUGCGAGAGUUGGACUGCGUCCAGAAUCGACUAAUGGUCGAGUGGGUGUGCUUCGGAAAGGCCGAAGAUGUCAAAGACCCAAAAGUACAUUGGAAAUGAGUCCACGAGAGCAAAUGGUGCAAAACCCAUACUUGAUGGGUUAUGCUCUGGGGAACCGGUCCCUGGUGGGAGGGACCGGUUCCCAAAUGUUGUCUGCGCGAGCCUGCUCUCGGGGACCGGUCCCUGGAUGGAGGGACCGGUUGCCCCGAGGCUGAGGGCUACGGCAGUGCGAGGCAACCGGUCCCUGGGCCUGAGGGACCGGUUCCCGAACGCGUGCAGAUUGGGGAGCUCUCGGGGACCGGUCUCUGGUGGGCAGACAGGUCUCCAGGGGACCGGUCUCUCAGGGAGAGACCGGUUCCCGAACGCGUGGAAAACGGGAAAGUCCUCUGGGACCGGUCCCAGAUCGGGGAGAUCGGUCCCUCCGCGCGGGUUUUGCCCAGUCUGGGCAGUAUGAAGUGUGGAAAGUUGAGGGGCUUCUUAGCAUUUUGUUAUAAUAUGAGAGGGGAUUAAGAGAGGGCUUCUCUCUCUCUCUCUCUUUUUCCCUCACUCUCCUUCAUCUCCCUCUCUCUCUCUCUCUUUACGUGAAGGAGAAGAGAAGAGAGGAAAGAAGAGAAGAAGAAAGAAAGGAAAAGAGAAGAAGAAAAGAAGGAGAAGAAGAAAGAAAGGAAAAGAGAAGAAGAAAAGGAGAAGAUGGAAGAGAAGAAGAGGAUCAUCAUCACCAUCAUCAUUUUCUUCUUCUUCUCACCAUUGGAGCAAGCUUAGAGAGGUAAGCUUGGUGCCCUCUGAUGGUAGAUCUUUAGAGAUAGAUUUUUGAUCUCUAAAAAUGGUUGGAGUGGAACCCUAGCAUGCUAUCAAAAUGGUUUUUUCCCAUUUCGUAGAUCGAUUUGGUGGUUUUUGCAAUAGUAGCAUCUAGGGCACCCAAAUUAGGGUUUUGUAAGAUAUGAGGGUUUGAUCUCAUUUGACCCUCUGCAAACCUAAUUGUUAGGUAUCUAAACGCGUAGGAAGUGACGGAUUGAGCAUUCGUCAAGCGGGUGAAAAGAUAUCGGCAAAAUAAGGCCAAGCGAGCUUCGUUUUGACCAAGAGGGCCGAGGCGAUGUCCAUAAAUCGCAAGAUUGGGUCCCGAGCACCGUGACAACAAAGCGAAGACCUUUAGCUCUCGAAACUGCGAAGCAACGCGUUGUUGGAGCGCAACUGCGAGGUCGGGCCAAAUCGGAUGCUAAGUGCCGCGGGAGGCCGAUUGCAAGUGUCGAAGAGCAAUCGAAAAGUUAGCUAAGGUGGGUUGUGUUUACUGAAGCUACUAGGUCGCCCUUUAUGUCUAAGAAACAUACGAUUUCAUAUUGAUGCAUGUUAACAAAAUGACAUAAAUGAUGCAUGUGGUAAAAUGCUAAGUAGAUGCAUAUAAAAUGAUAUAGAGAUCAUAGAAUGCAUGAUUAGCAUUGUGAGAAUAUGCUAGGUAGAUAUGCAUGUGAACUAGAUGAUAACUCUAGAGUAAGUAGAGUUGAUUGACAUGAGGACUAUAUGAUCGAGUGGCACCUAACCUAGUGUUAAAUACAUAGGUCGUACUUGAACCUAGAGUCGAACAAAUCUAGGUGUGUGGCAUCGAACCUAGUGUUUGUAAAUAUAGGUCAAACAAGUGAACCUAGAGGUUGACAUCUAGGCAGAGAUGAGAUAGAACCUAGCGGUUUUACCUAGGUUAUGUAUGUGAUAAACCUAUAGUGAAGUUAACCCUAGGUUGUUGAGUAUAGUGGUAUUAGCCACUAGGAUAUUCUAGGUCGACAGCAUAGGGUUGGUUAUGGACCCUCGACUUGCGAAAAGUAGAUUCCGGAAUCGCAGGACUUGUUAUGACCCUGGUAUCAAGGCUAGGGCAUGUGCGACGAUUUCGUCGCCGAGGUUGAUACCGAGGGAGGAUUGGGGGCGAUCACCUAGAGAUCACCACCCGUGGCUUGAACCAUUGGCGUGGCGUGUGCGACGAUUUCGCUGCCGGAUGGUUAAGCCGAUUGUGAAUCAGACCGCCGGGAUUGACUGAAACCAUUGCUGGGUAAGUUCGAUACGGGUGCCGCCAGGUGGCUGAGUCGUGACUGAAACCAUUGUUGGGUGAGGUGCGAUUAGUUCUCCGCCAGAUGGAUAGGUCAUGACUUGGGUCCUCAUUGGGUAAAUGCAACGUGUUCGCCGCCAGAAUGGUUAUGUCAAGGGACUUGAGCCGGGUUCAGCAUGUGCGACGAUUUCGCCGCUAAGAGGCUAAGUCAAGGAGAGCGGUAGGCUGUUGAGCAGCCAGUGCGCAGAAUAUCCGCGGAUGAUUGACUCGAAGCCGAGUCGGGUGGUUAGCUUCGAUAGGGUAGUGGAACCCCUAUAAGCUAGUGAUAGAGGCUUGAGCUAAGAUAAUAGAGACCUUAGAAGCCAACGGACUUGAGGGUGAUCCUAAGGUAAUAGAAACCUUAGAGUUCAAUGUUAUGAGCUAAGAUUAGCCAAGUAAAUGUAGAAUCAAUUGAUCUACUAGUUGCAUGAUUUUUAUAUCGCAUAUUAUGAGGCAUGGCAUGUAUUUCAAUUCGAAUAUAUAUAUCUGUUAUAUAUUGUUGAAUUAACAUGUUCCAGUGCCUCCUCGGACCUAUCGGUCAAGCUUCUCCCUUGGGUGGCCGUACCCACUGGGAACCAUGGAGUUGGUUCUCACCCCACGUUGUUUUGGGGUGUUUCAGGUUUUACGUGAGCGGCGCAGCAGCGCGAGGCAAAGGCGUAGCUCUGUAGAUAGCGACCUACCCCAGAGACCGAGGUAGUAGUACCCUAAGACAGUCUAGCUUAGGGGACUAGAGGACAGUGAGCUAAGAUGUAUCAAACUUGUAAAUCAAAUGUAAUAACUGAGAUUGUAUUUGGAAGUCUAAUGUAAAAGAAAAACUGUGAUGUAAAAUGCAUGUAAUGAGAAUUCUUGUAAUAGCUAUAAGUUUUAUGUUGUUGAUACUUCCUCAUGUAAUACUGAUUGAUAUCAGUUCCUGGUUGGAACCUUCGUGUUGUUUUGAUUGUGAUGCCUAGGACGUACAGAAGAAACUCUGUCCGUUCGGCGCUGUCGGCGGCGCCGCGACCUCGGCCAAAUAGGCAGGUGGUCGCGGGGUCGUGACACCAUUACUAGUACUCACCGACUCAGUACCGGUUCUCAACACCCACUUCUCAAACCCGAGAGCAGCCCAUUCAGGCACGCAAUGGGGUUCCGGUACCUCACUCAGGUAUCGGUACUCAACACUCAAAACCUGCAUUUUGCAGAUUUUAGUGUCAGUAAUCAUUCCCAUUAUCGGUGUUUGGUUCAGGUGGAUAUGAAAAACGUAAUCAAAUUAAUAUACUAACAUUAUCUUUAUAAUAUAUUAAUUUAAAUUCAAAUUAAAUAUUAAAUAUUAAAAAUUUACAUCAAAAUUUUGAAAUAAUGUCAAAAUUUUAAAUAUAUUUUGUUUUAAAAAAAAAACUUUGAAGUUAAGUGGAUAAUUCAAAAUAUGAAACUAAAUUUUUAAUUUAUUCAAAUUCAAACUUAAAAUUACAAUUUAAAUUUUAAUUUGAAUCCAUAUAUUUAAUUUAAGUUUGAAAUAAAAUUUGAAUAAAACUUUAUAUAAAUUAAAAUUUAAUUUAAAUUCAAAUUUUGAAUUAUCCANUGGAUUCUUCGAUCUUUGUCAAUCCGCUUCGAUCCUUCAAGACUCCGACUUACUUCACGAAACUUGCCAACACACAAUCCUUAACAAUCUCCCCCUUUGGCAAUUUCGUGACAAAACUCACAUAACUCAAAAAUACAUAAAAUAUUCGAAGUUCAAUUGUCAUCACCAAAACAUUGAACCCCUCGCGUGUAAUCCAAAUACAAUUUGAAACUCAAGAUUACAUCAAAACUCCUAAAACAGACUCUAUGACUUAGACGCAAUUAGGAGUCUUGAAGUCUUGAUUUCCUGUAAAACAAUUUAUCCAAGAAAUUACAUCAAAACAUUAGAUUCUUAUACCUUCUCCCCCUUUGUUCAUAUCUCGAUCACAUCUCCCCCUUUGUUUUUGAACUCAUCAUCCUCCCAAUGAAUAAAAUACCUGUUCAUCCAUGCUCUCCCCUGUUUACCUGUUCAUCCAUGCUCUCCCCUCUUCAUCUUCGCUCUCCCCCUUUUUGUCAAAAAUUGACAAAAGAAAGCAAAUAAAGAGAGAAAACAUACUAGAAAGCAUAAGAAUAGUCACCAUAGAUACAGGCCUAAAACAAAAAUAAAAACAUACUGAAGAAAGAUAAGCAAACAAAGCGAAAACAUCGUCCUAAAAAGUAAACAUAGUGAAGCAGCAAAUCUAAUGCGAGACAGAGAUCACGCCGUGUCCUCGUCAUCAUCAUCGUCAUCUCCAGCGCCAGUACCAGAACCUCCCGCAUCUGAAGCUCCAGUAGAUGGCGGAAUAAGGGGGUGUCGUGAAGUAGACCUAGUAUAAACAUGCUGAGGAGGAAAACUAUCGUCAUGCCUGCAUCCCAACUUGUUCAUCAUCCUCUUCAUGACUAACUCCACUUUCCUGGCAAGAUCAGCCACUUUCUUUUUCAACGACCGCACUUCUUGGCGAAGGGAUUCUCCCCCUGAACUGGAAGAUCCCUCACGCUCUGCUCGAGGUGGAGGUGCCUGGCUGGAAGCUGGUCGCGACGGUCCCUUUGAUUGCUGAAAAGUUUUUAGUGUGCUAACUGAUUUGGCCCAAGUUACAGCAUCGAUAGGACCAAGACCAAAAUCGUACUUGUCGCAAGAAAUAUCUAUUCCAUGCUCCUGCAAAAUCCUCGUGAUCAAAAGAGGAAAUGGAAGUAGAUCCCGUCUGGCAGAAGCCUGAAUCACAUGGACCAUCCGCUGCCACAUCAAAAAGGGAAUGUUGAUAUUCAAGCCAUGAGCUUGCUCCGGGUGACCAAGUAAAAAUAAUAGAAGCAAUCGAUCCGAACGAAUCCUUUUUGUACCAAUCGUAGGUUGAACAUUGUAGCUCAAGACCAAGGAUAGUAGAUGGUACUCGGGUUGCAGAUCCUUAGACGCUACAUAAGCUCGAUUCGUUUGCACUCCAGCCCUGCAGAUAGCUGCUACAAUGGUAUCCUAAUGAGACAAAGAUUGAAAUCCUCCUGUUGUAUAAAGAAGGCCCGUGGUGUCCACAUUCAUCCCCAAAAGCUCUCCAAUAGUAUAUGGGGUGACAACGACUUUCUGCUGCCGCACAAAUGUCUCAAAAAGAUAUAUCCCGGUCUCUUCAUCUUCUGCGAGAACUUUUUCGUUCAUAUAGAACUCCCGAAUGAGUUCCAUACAGAAGGGAGCCUUGGCAGGGACCCGUCCAACUAGCUCAAUAGGUGCGCGCUGUAGCAGUCGUCCAAAAUCAGGAACAUCGUGUAUAAGAUCAGUGAAGUUGACAUUACGCUCAGCAAUACACGACUUGCUCAUAAACAUCCUCCACCGCUCUGGGGGAAUAUCCGCGGCAUGCUUCGAUCGAGUCUCUCUAGCACGAGAACCACCGCCACGUAAGGAUUUACCAGCUAUUCCUUUCCCCUUGUCAAGAUGAGCAAUAGGUUCCUCAGCCUCUUCAGGGGAGCUAGCCUGAUAAUCCGGAUCAGAUCCGGACGCCUCUUCCAUUGUACGUGUCCGCUUAGAGGCCCCUCGACGACCUCUACCACCACCUCGACCACGUCUCGUAGCCAUCAGCACCAAAAUCAACAAUAUAAAUGAAAACGCCAUUUUUCCUAUAUAAAAAUUAACCUCGCAUGAACAAAAUCUUGAAAAAAAUCUGUAAAAAUAGCGAAAAAAUUUCUAAUAAUAUUAGAAUGCAUACAAAUGCUAUUUCUACUCAGAUCAUGUAAAAAAUUUUCAUCAAAAAUGACAUUUUACAAAAAAUCCCGAAAUUACAUGAAAAAUGAAGCUUAGAACAUGGAUCAGCGAAAAAUAAUGUGUUUUGAUGUGAUUCAAGUGUUCUAGAAGCAAGAUAAUGUCCUUAAGCACUGAUCUAUAGCAAAAAAUUGCAUAAAAAACGAUCAAAAACAGAGAUCUAAGCAUGAACUCGAAAUUUUUUUCGAAAACUAUGUAAAAAUGAGGUUUGAUCCAUAAAUCCGAGCAAACAACGUACAAAUCCACGUGAAAAGCAGUAAAUCUGAAAGAGAUCGUCGCCUUAGAGCUUCAGGAGAAGAAAAAAGCAGUUUGAAUGAGGAUUUGUGAGAAAAUCGAAACAUAUCUCCGGUUAUAUAACCCGCGGCUACAGUACCCGUACACGAUCUCAGAUUUCGAAAAAUUUCUUUAGAAAUCCAUCAAAUUUAAAUUAAUUUUAUAUAAAUUAAGACUUUUACUCCAAAAAUCAUUAUGAUGAAAAUAAUAUAUUAUAAAAUUUCAAAAUACAUCCAAACAUCAAAAUUUCAUAAUCAAAACUGAUUUCAAGUUUCAAAAUUAUCAAGAUGUGAGUUGAUGANNNNNNNNNNNNNNNNNNNNNNNNNNNNNNNNNNNNNNNNNNNNNNNNNNNNNNNNNNNNNNNNNNNNNNNNNNNNNNNNNNNNNNNNNNNNNNNNNNNNNNNNNNNNNNNNNNNNNNNNNNNNNNNNNNNNNNNNNNNNNNNNNNNNNNNNNNNNNNNNNNNNNNNNNNNNNNNNNNNNNNNNNNNNNNNNNNNNNNNNNNNNNNNNNNNNNNNNNNNNNNNNNNNNNNNNNNNNNNNNNNNNNNNNNNNNNNNNNNNNNNNNNNNNNNNNNNNNNNNNNNNNNNNNNNNNNNNNNNNNNNNNNNNNNNNNNNNNNNNNNNNNNNNNNNNNNNNNNNNNNNNNNNNNNNNNNNNNNNNNNNNNNNNNNNNNNNNNNNNNNNNNNNNNNNNNNNNNNNNNNNNNNNNNNNNNNNNNNNNNNNNNNNNNNNNNNNNNNNNNNNNNNNNNNNNNNNNNNNNNNNNNNNNNNNNNNNNNNNNNNNNNNNNNNNNNNNNNNNNNNNNNNNNNNNNNNNNNNNNNNNNNNNNNNNNNNNNNNNNNNNNNNNNNNNNNNNNNNNNNNNNNNNNNNNNNNNNNNNNNNNNNNNNNNNNNNNNNNNNNNNNNNNNNNNNNNNNNNNNNNNNNNNNNNNNNNNNNNNNNNNNNNNNNNNNNNNNNNNNNNNNNNNNNNNNNNNNNNNNNNNNNNNNNNNNNNNNNNNNNNNNNNNNNNNNNNNNNNNNNNNNNNNNNNNNNNNNNNNNNNNNNNNNNNNNNNNNNNNNNNNNNNNNNNNNNNNNNNNNNNNNNNNNNNNNNNNNNNNNNNNNNNNNNNNNNNNNNNNNNNNNNNNNNNNNNNNNNNNNNNNNNNNNNNNNNNNNNNNNNNNNNNNNNNNNNNNNNNNNNNNNNNNNNNNNNNNNNNNNNNNNNNNNNNNNNNNNNNNNNNNNNNNNNNNNNNNNNNNNNNNNNNNNNNNNNNNNNNNNNNNNNNNNNNNNNNNNNNNNNNNNNNNNNNNNNNNNNNNNNNNNNNNNNNNNNNNNNNNNNNNNNNNNNNNNNNNNNNNNNNNNNNNNNNNNNNNNNNNNNNNNNNNNNNNNNNNNNNNNNNNNNNNNNNNNNNNNNNNNNNNNNNNNNNNNNNNNNNNNNNNNNNNNNNNNNNNNNNNNNNNNNNNNNNNNNNNNNNNNNNNNNNNNNNNNNNNNNNNNNNNNNNNNNNNNNNNNNNNNNNNNNNNNNNNNNNNNNNNNNNNNNNNNNNNNNNNNNNNNNNNNNNNNNNNNNNNNNNNNNNNNNNNNNNNNNNNNNNNNNNNNNNNNNNNNNNNNNNNNNNNNNNNNNNNNNNNNNNNNNNNNNNNNNNNNNNNNNNNNNNNNNNNNNNNNNNNNNNNNNNNNNNNNNNNNNNNNNNNNNNNNNNNNNNNNNNNNNNNNNNNNNNNNNNNNNNNNNNNNNNNNNNNNNNNNNNNNNNNNNNNNNNNNNNNNNNNNNNNNNNNNNNNNNNNNNNNNNNNNNNNNNNNNNNNNNNNNNNNNNNNNNNNNNNNNNNGUUAGAUUCGAAAUACUUGAUUAAAUUUUAAUUUUUAAUUUAAGUUUAAAUUAAAAUUUAAAAUUAUAUAUUUAAUUUUUAAAUUUUACCUCAUAUUUUAAUUAAAAAAAUUGAAAAAAUAAAUUUAAUCCUAAUAAAUAUCCAUUCCAUCGGGAUUCAACUUCCAAUCCGGCCUCCUAGGCCGGAUUGAAAAAGAGGUGAUUGCGGGAUUCCCGUUCCACUCGGUUUGAAAAAAGAGGUGAUUGCGGGAUUCCCGUUCCACUCGGUAAUCGGAAUCGGAAUGGGACUCCCGCUUACCAAACACCCACAAACGGAUUUACCUAUUCCAAUUCCAAUUCCAGGGUGAAAAAGAAGCAAACCAAACACACCCUAUCUAUCUGUAGUCUAUAGAUAUAUUAAAAAUUGGGUUUUAUUGUAGCCACGUGUCGGCUUCAGCGCCCCCCCACCCUUCCCCUUCGAUCCCUUCGUGAGCGCGCGACCUCUCUCCGUUUUUUUUUUUNAGCGCCCCCCUCUCCCGUUCCCUCUUGCGCCCGGCUCGCGCGGUUCCUUCAUCCCCUCUCUCCAUUUUUUUUUUUUUCAGCGCGGGCGGGCGCGCGACCCGCGCGAGCGGGCGCCGGGCGCGGGUCCCGUGCACAUGCCCCGGCUCUCUCUCUCUCUCUCUCUCUCUCUCACCCCUCGAUUCCUGUCCCCUCUGGAUCCGCAAAGCUUGCAAGGUGCGGACAAUUGUCGCAUUAUGCCUACCGCGCCCCCCUCCCCGCCUCCUUCCCCUGUCCCGCAGGGUGCGGAGGUCCUGUAGAUCCGCUCCGCGACCCGCGCACGCGCCCGCUCGAGCCGCCCCCGCCGUGCCCGCCCACGCUACCAUAUGCGCGCCACCCGCGGAUCCCGCCUCUCAUCUCUCUCCGAUCUCUUUUCGAUCUGGGAGGAUCUUCUUCUCCUCAACCUCUCGCCAUCACGUGAUUGAUUGGAGGAGCUCACAGGCCCCCGCGCCCUCUCCCUAGCGCUCUCGUCCUGUUCGACAAAAUGCCGAGGCGAUCGCAGGGCGCUUCACGGGCAUUGGAGAGGUGGGGCGCGGUGCUGGGGAUGGUGGUAAAUGUUAUUCCUUUACAUAUAUAUGUCUGAUCAUGUAAAUAGAGGUAUAAAGUAGCACCAUGUUCGACGAAAUGCCGAGGCGAUCGCAGAGCGCUUUGCAGGCAUCAGAGAGGUGGGGCGCGGCGCUGGGGAUGGUGGUAAAUGUUAUUCCUUUACAUAAGUGUGUAUAUAUAGAUAUAUAUAAUCCGCUUUGUGUUCCUACUGAAAAUAUGGUUUUCAACAUCGAUCCUUUUAUGCAUUCGUAUUCUGAGAAGAUAUAAGUAUAUGAAUAUGGUGUCGCCAAUACCUGAUCCGCAUCUCAUCCAUUUUCAUCUCUACAGAAUACCCUUUAACUCUGUUUCAUUUCUACAAAUGGUGUUCUUGACGGUUAACCAGGCUAUUCUCAGAAUAUAGGCUUGGAAACUAUGCUGGCUAUUGUUUGCAAGACAUAUGAAGGUGUUAAGACUCUUGAAAAGCAUGACAAGGAGGGCAUGAUUGAUAGAAAUGCUGGCCUGUAUGGAGUUGGGCCACCUAUUGGAAGGCUCUUGAAUGGAAGGUUUCUUGUGCUUUGUCUUGAAAAAUUAAGGUGAGAGUUCAUAGAUCUUCUAUUAUUAUUUGAAUUUUCUUUUACUGGAUAUGAUAUCAAACUUCUUCUCAAGCGCUGCUUAUAUUUUAAGAUGCUGACGAUAAAACAUUACAAAAAUUUUCCUUUUUUUGCGGAACGUUUACAUUACAGAGGUAUAAAAUAGCAACUCUAGGUAAAACUCUUUCCUUUCCCCUUUCCUUCAGCAUGGUUUAAAAAAAAAAAAAAAUUAGAUGUGCCUUGGAAUCCGCAAGCCCCGUUUUUGGUUUUUGGAUGUUUACUAUGUCUACCCGAUGGCUGGGGAUUCUUUCUUGCUCUCUGUAGUUCUGUCUGUGCGGUUUAUAGCAAUGUUUUGUCUAUUGUGGGUUUCUUUGCUUGCACCUGAAUGUGAAAAGAAUUUGAACCUUCUAUUCCCUGAGACUUUGUCUUCACCGUGUUCCUCCCAUGCGAUGAUGACCUUCCCAAUGUCAGAUGGUUGUGAUAAUUGAGAGAGGCAUGCGCUUUCUUGAUUGGUAAUCACUACAACAAAAACGGUCUAUAGCGACACUUUUAAAUGUCGGUACAGGUCAAAAAAAAUGUUGCUGGCUAAAUUACCGACACUUUUAAAAAGUGUUGCUAUAUGUGGGGUCGCUAAGUAUAUAGUGACAGUUAAAGAAUAUCGCUAUAACCUAAAAAAGUACUGCUAAUUUACCAAUAUUUAUUUAAGUAUUUAGCAACCGCUAGAACUCUAUCUCGUUGGCUGCGGUGGCGGAGGAGGACGAGAGAAAGGGAUUUUCGUCUAGAAUUUCAAUCGAUUGAAUGAGGGGAGAAGGGGAAAUCGUAAUCGAUUUUUCUUUUCUUUUUCCUUUCUAUUUGUAAUUGGGCCGAAUGGGUUGGGUGGGGUGGGUUGAGUAAAGUAACUUUUUAUUUUUUGUUGUAUUGGACUUUAUAUUUAGACAUUAGUGGAUUUUUUUAAAAGUUUUCGCAUAAAUGAAUACUUACAAAAAAAUGUCCCAAACAUGUGUCCCUAUAACCUAAUUCUGUUGUAGUGAAUGACAUCACUUUGGAUGGCUUACUUAUUAAGCAACCAGUUGUUCUCAUUUGUGCUAAGAAUGGUUUCAGCAUGCGCAUGGUUUCUAGCUUGGUCGGAACUACUAAUCACGAAGGCUUCGCUGCCAAUCUAAUUUCGGAUAAUAAAAAAUUUUAAAUUUUAAAUAUUUAAUUAUUCAUUUCCGUUUUACUUAAAUUUUAUAACCAACUUUAGUAAAUAAUAUUGAAUAGUCUAUUCAAAAGAUUUUAGAGAUUACGUAAAUUUUUCGUUGCGAAGCGCGGGCCUUUACUAGUUUAGUAUAAAUCAUAGUUAGUUAAUUCGAAUUCGGCAAAAAUACGGUACGGAUAUAAUACAUAUAAAAUUCGUUUUCUAAUUUUUAAAUUCGUUAAAAAAUUUCGCUUAAAAAAUGAAUUCGGUAUAAAAUAUAAAAUAUAAGAUAUAAAAUAUGAAAUAAUUUAUAUUUAAAAAUAAAAUUAUAAGUUUUUUAUUCAUAUUGUUAAUAAUUCAGCAAUAAUUCACGAAUUAUUCGUGAAUAAUUCGGCUGGCUAAAAAAUUCACGAAUAAUUCACUUUCUUUCGGAAAAAUUCGUAAACGGACCGUUUAAUUCGGAUUUUCAAUAAUUUGCGAAUAAUUCGUGAAUUUACUAACUAGGGUAUAUAGGGGUGAGAAAAACGUUGGAAACAACCAAAUGUUUCACUCCAUGCCAUUAAAUGCCGUACAUUCCCAGCUGGUUAAUUAAAAAUAAUAAAAAAUAAAUAAAAGUAAAUAAAUUUAUAAUAAUAAUGAUAGUAUGGAGAUUUUGAAUUUUUCACCAAUGUAUGCGGCCAACAAGGCUCUCAACUAAGGCAGCUCGAAUACUAGUGCACCUCUGGUAAGUCCAUCUGGCUGGGGAGAUUAAUUAGAAUACUAAUUUAAUAAUUAAAAUUUAUAAAAUAUAGUUUUCUUUAUAUUUGGAUUGGAAUAGUAUAUAUAUAUAUAUAUAUAUAUAUAUAUAUAUAUAUAUAUAUAUAUAUAUAUAUAUAUAUAUAUAUAUAGUAGGCAGCUGUGCUCUCAAGAGCACGGAGGCCUCCGUGCUCCGAGCCGUUUUCGAUGAUGGAAUUUCCGAAUCGACGAUCGGUUCGUUAGACUUGAUCUAGCGUAUUUGAAGUUUAUAGAAAAUAAUUUUUGCGAUUUUUUGAUAUCAUUUACCUAGCAAUCGAACGGAUUCAAAUCAAUAAUUUUUAACGGCUGAAAAUAAAAAUUCUAUAAAAAGUGGUGAUAUAGCACUAAAAUUUUCGAUCAGAAAUAUUGAUCUUAUUGUAGAUAGUAUAAAGAGUUUUAUAUCAAAAUUUCAUCUGAUUUGAAUACUUCUAUACCGUUAAACUUGAAAACGGCAGAUAUCAACCAUUAAAAAUUAUUAAUUUUAAAUCCUUUCGAUCACUAGAUAAAUGAUAUCAAAAAAUUGCAAAUUUUAUUUUCUAGAAACUUCAAAUAUCCUAGAUCAAGUCUAACUGAGCCGAUCGUCAAUUCAAAAAUUCCAUCAUCGAAAACGACUUAGGAGCACGGAGGCCUCCGUGCUCCUGAGUGCACAGCAGCCCUACUCAUAUAUAACUAGGCUACUAUGCUAUUAAUAGCACCAAGUCAUUGGUGCUACCAUGUUUGUGACCAUUGGAUUAAGAGAUGUGUGGUUAAGAUGAUGUGGGCCUCCUAGGAUUGAGUGGGUGGUUGGUUGAAUAGAAUGAUUUAACGGAUGAAAAUGAUAAAAAGGGUAGAUCUAACGGCGGAAAACAUGGUACGUAGCACUAAGUGCUUCGUGCUAUUAAUAGCAUAGUAGCCGGACUAUAUAUAUAUAUAUAUAUAUAUAUAUAUAUAUAGAGAGAGAGAGAGAGAGAGAGAGAGAGAGAGAGAGAGAGAGAGAGUCUGGCUACUAUACUAUCGAUAGUACCAAACCCUUGGUACUAUAGAGUUUUCUACCAUUAGAUCUACCCUUUGAUCAUUUCCACCCGUUAGAUUAUACUAUUAAACCAACCACCCACUCAAUUCUAGGGAACCAUUAUCAAUUUAACUGGGGACCACUAUCAUCCUAACCGCACAUAUUUUCAUCCAACGGCCGAAAACUCAAUAGUACUAAGGGCUUGGUACUAUUAAUAGUAGAGUAGCAUAAUUCUAUAUAUAUAUAUAUAUAUAGACUUGGACUGAGCUACUUUUAGUAGCAAAAUUCCAUUAUUGCUACCAGUUUUUUAGCCUUUGGAUCAACUCUUUUCAUUAUUUCUAACCAUUGGAUUAAAUACUAUAACCCAGUGGGGACCACUCAAUCCUAGCAGGAUCACUCAACUCUAACCAACUAAUAUCAUCCCGACCCUACAAUUUUUCAUCAAAGGGUUAAAAAGUUGAUAGCAAAAAGAGCGUUUUACUAUUAAUAGUAUUCCAGCAUAAUUCAUAUAUAUAUAUAUAUCAGCUAGAGUGUUUCUAAUAAUAUGAAGUAUUUGGCGUUAGCAAGUUUUUUAUUAUUAAAUUUAUUCUUUUGACCAAUUCCACUUCUUAAAUCAUGUUAGUUUACCAACCAUCCACUAAAUACAAGGGAACUACUAUCAUACUAAUCAUGCAAAUCUUCAAAAAGCAAAAAAUUUACAAACACCAAUAAUUUGUGCUAUUAGAAGCAUCCUAAUCUUGUUCUCUUUCUAUUUAUACAGAGAGAGAGAGAGAAGAAGAGAGAGGCUGGUAUGCUUUGAGAAGCACGGAACACUCCAUACUUCCAAGUCGUUUUCGAUGUUGGAAUUUUUGAAUUGAUGAUCGACUCCGUUGGACUUGACCUAGAGUAUUUGAAGUAGUUAGAAAAUAAAUUCGACAAUUUUUCGAUAUCAUUUGCCUAAUGAUCGAAAAGGCUCAAAAUCAAUAAUUUUAAUAGUCGUGGUGAGUCGUUUGCAAGUUUAAUGGUGUAGAAAUAUCUAAAUCACGUGAAAUUUUGAUAGAAACUAUAUUAUAUAAAACAAGAUCAAUAUCUUUGAUUUAAAAUUUUAAUGUCAUAUCAUCACAUUUUGUAAGAUUUUUAUUUUCAACCAUUGAUUUUGAGCCCUACGAUCACUAGACAAAUAAUAUUAAUUAAAAAGUCACAAAAUAUAUUUUCUAGGUAUUCAAAUACUCUAAAUCAAGUCUAACGAAGUCAAUCAUCAAUUUGAAAUUGCCAAUAUAAAAAAUGACUUGAAAGCAUGGAGGGCUUCGAAGCAUAUAUACCAGCUUCUCUCUCUCUCUCUCUCUCUAUAUAUAUAUAUAGAGGCUAGAAUACUAUUCAUAACAAAAGAAUUUUUUUGCUAUUAAGUUUUUAGCCUUGGAUUAUUUUCCUUCAUCAUUUCUAACAAUUGGAUUAAAUAUUAUAACCUAGUGAGGACCACUCAACCCUAAGGGACUAAUAUCAUCCUAAUCCUACAAUUUCUCAUUCAAGGGUUAAAAAUUUGAUAGCAAAAAGAAUCUUUUGCUAUCAAUAGCAUUCCAGCCUAUAUAUAUAGAGUAGGGCUACUGUGCUAUUAGGAGCACAGCAGUCUUUGUGCUCCUAAGUUCUUAACUGCCCAUCAAGUUUGAUAGGUGGUUAGGGUGAAUGGGAGAAGAGAAAUUCAAAGAGAAGAAAAAUUGAGAAACUCAAUUUCUCUCUAAUUACUCUUCUCCCUUUCACCCUAACCACCCAUCAAAUUUGAUAGGCGGUUAAGAACUUAGGAGCACAAGGGCUGCUGUGCUUCUAAUAGCACAGUAGCCCUACUCUCUCUCUCUCUCUCUCUCUCUCUCUCUCUCUCUCUCUCUCUCUCUCUAUAUAUAUAUAUAUAUAUAUAUAUAUUAUUAUAUUAUAUAAUCGAGUACAACAAAAUUUAAUAUAAGGAUGCUUUUUAGACGACGCUUAGGAAAGCGUCUCCAAGCGUUUUACAAUAUAGAAAAUACUGACGCUUCAAAAAGUGUCGUCAUAUGAAUCAAACAAUUUAUUAAAUGAUGAUAAAUUUUACUAAUUUUUUAAAUUUUUUGACGCUUUAAAGCGCAGAAUUUAACAAUAAUCCUGACACUUUAAAGCAUCAGAAUAUAUUUAGACGCUUGGUAUAACCGUCAAUAUAUACGUGGCGACUCUUCAUUUGCCGACGCUUUGACCGACGCUUUCAAAGUGAAGUUGGAAUUAUUGGGACGCUUUUAAGUAUUGUAAAAAAAUAAAAAGGUGCGUCCUUAAAUAUAACAUUUUUUGUAUGAAUGAUAGAUAGAUUAGAUAUAAUAUAUAUAUUAUAUAUAUAUAUAUAUGAUACUAUUAAUAUAAUAUAUAUAUAUAUAAAUAUUAUAUUAUGUGUGUGUGUGUGUUGUGUGUGUGUGUGUGUGUGUGUGUGUGUAUAGAGUGCAUCUACUAUACUUUCGAAGUACGGGCCUCCCGUACUGUGUAAGUUGUUUUCGAUGAUAGGACAUUCGACUUGACGAUCAGCUGCUGUUAGGUAUAAUCUAUCCUAUUGGAACUAUCUAGAAACCAAAUUUAUCAUUUUUGACAUCAUUUACUAAGGGAUCAAAAGAUCCCAAAAAGACUAUUUAAUGGCCGAUGCGGCACAGUUUUAAGUUCAACGAUAGAAGUAUCCAAAUUACAUGAAAAUUUUAAUAGAAAUUCUACUUAACGUCAAUAACCAAGAUCAAUACUUACCGAUUUGAAAUUUAGUCCUUUAUCAUUAUUUUUUAUGAGAUUUUUAUUUUCAGCCGUUCAUUUUGAGGCUACUCGUUCACUAGGCAAUGAAGUCAAAAAAUUAUGAAAUAUGGUUUCUAGAUAGUUCCAAUAGCGUAGAUCAUGUCUAACGGACCGAUCGUCGAAUCGGACGUCCGAUCAUCGAAAACAUUACAAGUACGGAGGCCUCCGUACUUUCGAAAGGAUAUAUUCUAGCUCCAUGUGUGUGUGUGUGUGUGCAUAUAUAUAUAUAUAUAUAUAAUUAUUAUAUAUAUAUAUUAUAUAGAGAGAGAGAGAGAUCCAGCUAUGGUGCUUGUAAAAGAACAAGCAUUUGGUCCUUGUAAGUUUUUUACCGUUAGAUCUACUCCUCGAUUAUUUCAACCAUUAGAUUAUUACUAUUCACCCAACCACCUACUAAACCCUAGGGGCCACAUCAUCUUAACCGCUAUACUUUUAAUCUCAAUGCUAAAAAUCUACAAGUACCAUAACUUGGUACUUUUAAAAGCAUAGAGCUCAAUUUUAUAUAGACAUAUAGUAUUUAUAUAAUAUAUAUAUAUAUAAUAUAUAUAUAUUAUUAUAUAUGAAUUAUAUAUUCGAGCUAGAUCAAGUCGAACGCGAAUUAGCUGCCCCAGCUCGUGUUCAAGUUGUUCAUUAAACAUGCGAUCAAUCUCGAGCUCAUUUCAAGCCGACCAGAAGUUCGCUCGUGAACAACAAGCCGGAUUGCGAGCCCUAGCUAGAUAGGAUAUCGUGGUUACAUCUUCUUGUUGGUGGAUUUGGAGGGAGAGAAACAAUAGAAUUUUCACAAACAAGUCCUAUUUAAGUCUUUUAUUACUUGAAAAAGUUAAUUAUUUUGUUAACUAUUGGGCAAAUGGGCAAAUAAUCUUGUCAGAGGAAGAAAGAAGAAAAGAUGCGUUGCAUGUGGGACAAGGAAAAUUGUCGGCAGCGAAGCAGAGCUAAAUCUGAUCAUGGAAUUUUCAGCUUGGAGAUGUUUUUUCUAUUUUGAGUCCUUCGGAAUAGUACUAGUUUAUGUAACUAGCCUGUUUGUUGGUGGCUCUUUCAUUUUUCUUUGCUGUGCAAUUAAUAUAUUUGCGCUGUGCAUUCUCUUUCUAUGUACUAGCUAUAUAUGGUUUUAUCCUCUUUAAUAAAAGUAUUUCCUUAAUUUCCAGGGUCUUUACCCCUUUACUACACCAAUAAUGGCCUACAUCAUUAGCUUUAUAGACGCACAGAGACCAACUAAUUAUAACUAUCCAACUCUACUUCCCGCGUCCAUAAAUGAUUAUCUCCACCGCCAGUUAAAACUUCCAAACUGCCUAAGCCCCCACACACCUGUAAGUUUGCUUGCAAGAACUCCCAACAGAGAUACUGUAUUUGUGCUUGGGCUUCGUAAGAAAUGUAGGCAGGCGAAGCAGGACCUCACACACGCACUUCUUAUCUACCUCCUUUAUCCAUCGGCAGCAGUCUCUGUUUGCUCGGGGCUCCUCCCUAUGAUCGCCUUCAUGCCGGCCUUUAUGCCCGUGACCAUGCCCGUGACCAUGACUGUGACCAUGACUGUGUCGAUCCUCUUGCUCGUCUUCCUCCUCGUCAUCAUCGUCACUGCCGUCAUCAUCAGCAGUAUUAUUAUCGUCGUAAUGCUGCUUCAUUUGAUUUGAAUCCUUAGGAGGGUCUUCUGUCACUGGCAAGACCGCGCAAGCCUGGUUUGCAAGCGCAAACUGCAUGAGGCAAAAGGUGCUCGACUGCGCACACCCUAUCCUGAGCAACGAGAACAAGGUGAAGAUCGUAAGGGUUAACGGCAGCUGAGAUAUAACUCUAGCUCUCUCCAUUGCAUGUUUUUUGGUUGAAGAAGCUCAUGAGGGCAAUGCGAUUUCAUUCUAUAUAUGUACCUUCUUGUUUACUAGGAGGGUGGUAAGUGGAGGAUGCAUGCUUUUUGUUCCAGGAGAAAGUGGUACUAACACAACUAUAUGGUAGGUCGGUCAUGCUUGAAGAAUGAAGUUGAUCAGUUCAUGCUUUCAUGGAAUAUUAUGAUUUCAUUUCUUGCUAAGCAGUUGGUGCGGGGUUGGUACUAUAAGUAUGCGUACACGAUCUUUCUGUUCUGUCCUUUCUUUCUCUAGUUUUACUUCAUAGAUCUUUAUCGGUAUAUAAAAUAAUAUUAAAAAAAGAAAUACAUACCAAAAUUCAGAAUCAUAAAUAAAAGAUAUUCUUGAUCAAUCUGCGGGGAAGCAAGAAGUCCAGCUAUAAUCUGAAAGUCACCAACUGAACUUUGAUAAUUUGAUUUCUCCUCCUUUCUCAGCCACUAUCCUGUAUGGUGUGGAACCAAUGGUAAUUCUUCACCAAAUUGUACAUAAGAAGGUAGCAAAACCAAUAUCUUUUAUAUAGAGUACAGAUCGACUUUCUAUCAAAGUCUGAUUAGAAUUUUAUUUAUUUUAUUAAAGUUUGAUUAGAAUUCUAUUUAUAAGAUAUACCAUAUCAAAUAGUUCUAUAUUUAUUAUGAUUGCCUUUAUCAAUAGAAAAUCCAAAUUUAAAUAUGAUUAGUUGGACCACAAUUAUGAAAAUCUUAACAAUCUCCUACUUGGCUCAUAUUAAUCAUAUUCUAUGAACGAAUUUUCUAUACUCCAAACUUUAUUACGCAUUAUUAGAAACUUCAUGGUCAAAUACUUUAGAAUUCACUUGAUCUUUUACUCAAACUUAAAAACUAUAAUAAUAAAAACUAUGGCGAUCCAACUCUUGAUAUUGAAAUUUUCCUUCCAUUAUUAUCAUAUCAUUUUCAUCUCCUAACCAAAUACUUUAUAUGGCACAACUUUAUAAAUGAACUUAAAACUAUAUGUCUAUUUGUUAACAGGCAAAACUUUAUAUCUAUUAAAUGGUCCAACACAGCUACAUUAAAACUUUAAUUUUAUUGAAAGAAAAUAAAAUGUUAUAAUCUCAUAUAUCAAAAGAACUAAUCAAACUUAUACUGCUAACAUGAUCUGUAUAUGACUCAGGUGUCAACCCCUUGGUCAUUAUUUUACAAUCAUAUACUUGAUACUGAUGUAUUCAAUUAUAAGAUAACCUUCCUCUAUUAUCUCUUUUAUAAUAAGAUAUUUAGUAUCCAAGUGUUUACACCCUAUUGUAAUCUUGUUAUUAUUGGUAAAGAAAACUAUAGUUGAACUAUCAUAGAAAAUCCUUAUUGGAUGAGCAAUAGAGCCCAUAAUCUUUAAGUCUAUGAUAAAAUUCCUAAGCCAAAUAGCCCUUGAUGUGGUCUCCUAACAUGCAAUGUACUCUGCAGCCAUGGUCGAAGGAGCAGUAAUACUUUGUUUACUGCUCUUCCAUGAAAUCGCUCCAUUAGUAAACAGAAAAAUAUACUCAGUUGUAGACUUUCUGGUAUCUGGAUAUCCAGCCAAAUUGGAGUCCGAGUACCCGUUCAACUGUAAGUGAUCUGAUCUUCCGUGUAUUAUCAUAGGAUCCAAAGUUCUCUUCAAGUACCUCACAAACUUCUUAGCAGCCUUCCAAUGCUCCAUUCCUGAAUUACUUUAAUACCUGCCAAGUAAUCCAACGGCAAAAGCAAUAUCCGGAUGUAUGCAUAUCUAUGCAUACAUAAAGACUACCAACUGCAAAAGUAUAUGGUUUGUUUUUCAUCUAUUCAAUUUUUAAUUGAUUUUUGAGACACUGAAAUCCAUUAAGCUUAUCCUCUUUCCGGACAGAAGCAAUACUAGGCUUACAAUUAUGCAUUUCAAAUUUUUCGAAAACUUUCUUUAUGUAGGCCUUUUGAGAUAAAUUGAGUAAACCUUAUCGUCUGUCUUUUAAUUUCAAUACCAACAAUAUAUGAGACUUCAUCUAAAUCUUUUAUUUUAAAAUUUUAAAAAUAAUUUUUUUAAUAUUAUGCAAUAGCCCAAUAUCAUUACUGGCAAACAAAAUAUCAUCAAUAUAACGGAUUAAGAAAAUUAUUUUACUCCCAUUAACUUUUAGAUAAAUAUAUUGAUCAAUAAUAUUUCCCUUAAAACCAAAGGUAAAAGCAGUUUGUUUAAACUUCAAAUACCAUUGUCAGGAGGCCUGAUUAGUCCAUAUAUUGAUUUCUUUCAAUGCUCAUUUUCCUUUUGUGAGAAUCCUUCAGAUUGACUCAUAUAUACCUGUAAUGUACAAAUUUUCUACAAUUGUGAAAUUUUGGUGGGAACUAGCUUAAAAAGCUAUUAAAAUAGUUCCGACGAAGUUUAGAAAGUAUUCGAGUGUUUUUGGCGCAAAUCGGGCGUGAAAAUGGACUCCGAAAUGUUAAAUUUGUCAAACCUGCAUAUUUUGUAUUAAGUACUGGUACUGGAAAACUGGGUACCGGUAUGCAAUACAAAAUGAGAAAAACCAGCUCGGAUUUUGAGGAACUGAAUGUAAGGUAUCGGCUCCCCGGAGUGUCGUAGCAACCUUGAUCAAACGAAUCAAUGUGUGGUAAAGUGAGCCUGGGGACAUGCUUAGUAUAUGGUCCCGAAGGCUUUCAGUUUGUUAAAAAGGACCCCGGAUAGUGUUUGAGUGGUUUUGGCAUUAUCCGGCGCGAAAACAAACUCAAAACCUGGAAAAACUACAGUCCGGGCACUGUGUACCGGUACUGGGACCGGUACCUGAUAAUGAUGCAGAGGAAGUCUACUCUCGGGUUUGAGUUUGGGGCCGUAUGUAACACACUGAACUUUAACAAAUUGCAAGGUUCUAAUGUUUAAUUAGUAUUUUGAGCUUUUCCGGAUUUUUCGGAAGGUCGUUGACUGUGUUCCGACUUAUGACUCGCGUCCCGAGAAGCAAGGAUGAGAACUUAACACCAAAACCUCUAAAUUGUAGAUUUUGAGAUGCUCUCGGGUUGAGCUCUGCAGGGCAGAGUACCGGUACAGCAUCAGCCGUGUACUGGUACUGUAUCACGAGGGUACCGGUACCGUGUGUGUUUGCUCGCUUGACCGAGGCUCGGGUUUGCGCGUGCUGCUGCCUGGUACCGGUACUCCAGCACGCGUACCAGUACGAAGUGCAAUUCGCAGAUUGCAGUUUUUUGAGGGUUCUUUUUGUAAUUGUUACAACUCAUUAUAUACCCCACACCCUUUGGCUGGGGUCUUUUGUGCAGCAACCAGAGAAGAGAAGAGGUGGGUUUUCCUCUUCAUUUUGCUUUGCUUUUUCCCUCUCCUUUGCCUUGGAUUUCGAGGAUGAUCUCUCCACUUUGCUUCCUUUUGCAUGUUGGUGGAUUUUCCACCAUUGGAGAAGCCUUGGAGCAAGGAUUGGAGUUUGUUUGAGAGUAGAACUUCAACCCUAGCACCUUUCUAGCUAGGUUUUGGGCUUCAAGAGAGGUUAAUAACCUUAAUUUUCCCUUUGGAUCACAUUUUGGUGGAUUUUUGUGAUGAAAACCUAGAAAUGAGGAAUCUAGGGUUUUAUUUAGGGAUUUUUGAUUUGUAGCUUUUGGGGUUAAAUUGAUGGGUGUAGAACUUCCUUUUAGGUUGGAUUAGGAGUAUCCUAGCAUUCAUUUGGAGUUUGGAAGGGUUCUAUACCAUACAAGGUAAAUUUUGACCUCGUUUUGGGUUGGUUAAAGAUGAACUCGUGGAGUGUUCGUUCAUCGCCCCUAACCCUCUUAGGGAGCUAAGAGACUAGUGGACAUCCUCAUUCGCGCAAACAAAGGGGAUAUGAGGAGUUCUCGAUGGGUUUGACCUCACCGAAAUGGGUGAACUCCCUUUAUGUUAUAUUCUUUAUUGAAAAAAUAAAAAUUCAUAUGCAUAUUCAUACUAGAUAGAGCAUAUGUGAAUUUUAGAAUGUUUAAAAGAUAUAUGUUAUGCAUUAUAAUAUAUCACCUCUAUAUAGUAGAGAGACAAAUGUAUAGUAAUUAUGAAAGUGAAUGGCAUUCUUUUAUAUGGCUUGAAUUCAUAUUUCAUUUAGUGAAAAUAAUAAGUAUAAUAUGUUCUUGGACAUAGAACUCAUGCUUGACAUAGUGGACAUUAAUGUUAUAAAGUGGCAUUCUACUUAGUAAAUGGUUAAACUCAUACUUGAUGACAUAGUGAUAGUCCAUUGGGUCAUUACCUUUUAUACCAUAUUUUAGACAUGAUGACAUUGGACGUGAGACGGAUGAUUACGCUUGCUUGCCAUUGUGCUCAUUCGCACAUGUUUGUGACGGUCACUCCCCACAAGCCGGCACUGCGGAGAUAGCCAACGCGACAUAAGCUCACCCGUGCGGGAUUGGGCGCCGAAAUGGGAUGUCGUGGGGGAGGCUCAUUCCUAGAGUGAGAAUAUUGACUACCACGGGGCCAUUAGGCACGGCGCAAGCCGAACUACCCUUGUGUAGGUCCUAUAUGAUUGGAACAAUGUUGAACUAAUAUGCAAUGUGGAUAUUAUACUAAUUGUAAAUGUUGACAUCCUACUAGUUGUACUUGUAAACAUCAUGCUAUUUAUAUAUAUGCUCAUUCAUGUUAGAAUAGCACUUAUACUCGUGGAACUUCAUGCUAAGUAGAAGCAUAGUAGUUUAGUAAGCUACUUCAUGCUUAAUAUACAUGUUAUUCAUUUCAUUUAAAUGUUAGAUUAUACUACUUAUGCCUCAAUGACCUAGUGGUGUAUUUCGCUGAUGUCGGCGGCUUACCCAUUGAAAACUAUUGAUUAAUAGUUCUCACACUCUCUGUUUUGUUGUUUUUGUUUACAGAGCCUUCCACUCCGGGAGAGGCUAGGGACUGCGACAAGGGUGUCACAUCUAGCUAGAUUGCGAGGAGUUUUUACUUUAGGUGGUUCACCUCUCUAUUUUUGUAUUGAUUGCAGAGAGAGAGAUUAUUGUACCCUUUGUGUAGAGACCACCAUUUUUGUGUAUCUAUUACCUUGUUUAUGGAUCUUGUGAUCUAUUUACCUUAUGGAUUAUGUUAGUUAUUUAGUUCAUUUAUAUUUUCACUUGUCAUUAGAAUUUAGUUGUAUUCAUACUCUGAUAUCCCUAGAUGCUCGUUUACUUUUGCUUUAUUCAUCGCUUUGUUGUAGACGCUUUAUAUGUUGUAGGCAUAUGGCAGGUCUGGACACGCACCGGGUGGGCUUCCGCUUGGUCCCGGGGCGUGAUAGAUUAUAAUUGUAUCAGAGCCUCGGGUUGAGUCUUAGUGGACCUAGCAAACCUUAGGCCGGUUGAACUAUAGGAAAUAGGCUCGUGAAAGACGGGGUCUAUUUGACUUGUAAGCAAAAAUAUCAUGAUUGGGUUUUAUAUCAACUCUAAAAUGUUGGAAUUUAAUUGAAGUGCAUAGCUUCUAACUUCGCGGAGGGUUACGUUGGCAGCCGACAACGUAACCUCGGGAGUUAGUAGUAAAGAACACUUUCUUACUUUCGCAUUAUUUGGCGUAUUAUUUUCUUUGAGUGGGGUUGCGAUAGCGUGGGCUUUACUAACUUGUGCUUUUAUGUUGUUGUAGUGAUAAUACCGACGACUCGCUCUAAGUCUAUUGGAGCGGACAAUACGGCAUACUACUAGGAGGUAGAGACCUCCGUUACCUCCGGAUCUGGUGAGGUCCGUGAGUUGAGGACCCAGCUUGUCGCGUUGACAGACCUGGUGGCGCAGCAGGCUGCGGCGGCUCAGCAGCAAGCCGAUGCGGCACGCCGACAGGAAGCGAGGAUGAAGUAGCUUGAGGAUCUAUUGCUUCAGCAGGCAGCAGCGAGGGAGGCUCAGGUUCCCACACCACCGGCGCUGGUGGAGGUUGUAGCACCGAGGGCGCUGUCCCCCGUGCCUCGUACUUUACGAGUGGCGCCCGUUGUUGCGCCUCAGGAGAAGGUUGUUGCAGCAGCACCGGUUCAGGUGCCUCCGGCGGGAGCAGUUUUCCUCGUGAUGGUGGCCGGGGAGAAGCGGGACUGGCUCAUGGAUCGUCUCAAUGAGUUUAGGAAGUGCAAUCCCUGUAUCUUUGAUGGAGAGAAAGCAGACUACUGUAUUAUGGAAAAGUGGUUGAUGCAUAUGGAAAAGCUUUUCUAUGAUACCUUCGUGGAGGAGAGGGACAGAGUUUGGCUUGCCACUCACCACCUUGACGGCGAGCCCUAUCAUUGGUGGUUGGAUAUCCGGGAUAACCCCAACACCGAUCUAUCAGCUAUUACUUGGAAGCGGUUCAAGGAACUUCUGUUGGCAAACUACUUCCCCGACAGUUUCAAGAGGCAAAUGGAGAAGGAUCUGCGCAACUUGCGUCAGGGGGAGCAGUCGGUACCCGAGUAUGAGCGGAGUUAUCCCGGCUCCUCUAUUGCGUGCCUUUCAUCGUGCGAGACGACGAGAAAAAGGCCCGCAUCUUUGAGAGUGGACUUCGGCCAUCGAUUUUCCGCUUCGUGCAGUCAUCAAAUCUUCAGGCCUACCGGGAAGUGGUGAACCGCCCUCUCAUUGUGGAGAGGGGCGCGGCAGAUGUGCAAGAACGUAGGGAUGGCUUGGACAAGGGUAAGGGUAAGAGGCCCGUGGCUGAGGGUGCGAGUCAGACGCACUCUAGGACGUCGCCGAGACACCCGAGGAGCUAGUCGCGAGGGCGUGGCUCAUCCACGCAGCGAGGAGGUUCUGAUCGUCGCCGACCUCCCCAGUGUGUGAUCUGCGGUGGUCCUCAUAUUCCACCACAGUGUCUGCACAGGGAGGCAGGUGUUUCCUUUGUUGCAGGAGGGGGCCACUUCCGGACCGAGUGCCCGAGGGGUUCGUCACCAGCACCGUCAUUUGCAUCGGCACUGGCUUCACUGGCUUCUACUUAGGGGACUCCAUCGGNGUGUGUGAUCUACGGUGGCCCCCACAUUCCACUGCAGUGUCCACAGCGGGAAGACAGGUACUUCCUUUGUGGCCAGGAGGGCCACUUCCGGACCGAGUGCCCGAGGGGUUCGUCACCAGCACCGUCAUUUGCAUCGGCACUGGCUUCACUGGCUUCUACUUAGGGGACUCCAUCGGCACACUACAAGCCUGGGCGGCCACCCAUCCAGCGACAGACUGAGGGGUCACGACAGGCCCCGAGCGGGCGCAUGUAUGCGGCCCAGACAGAGGAGGCGGCAGCAGCCGAGGAUGUGGUGGCAGCUAUCAUUUUAUUAAAUGGCAUUAGAGUUCGAGCUUUAUUUGAUACCGGUGUAUCGCAUUGAUUCAUAGAUCGGCUGUUUGCCGAGUUGCAUGGCAUCCCACUAGUUUCUCUAUUACAUCUGGGACGUGUUGUUGUACCCGACCACACCUUGGACAUUAGGGAGUUUUGCCCCAGUUGCCCUGUUCGGGUAGGAGAUUAGAUCAUGCCCGUGGAUCUUUUAGCAUUGCAUAAGCUGGGAGAGUUUGAUGUGGUUUUGGUUAUGGAUUGGCUGACUAAAUACUUCGCCACUAUCAAUUGCAAGAAUCGAACAAUGACAUUUAGAGAACCGGGGCAGGAGGAUAUUGUAUUCAGGGGAUGUCAGAGUUCGUUCUUUGCGAUGAUGAUAAGCUCUUCGCGAGCUAGGCAGUUGAUCAGUAGGGGUUGUAUAGCCUAUUUGGAUAGUGUGGUGUUGAGGGAUGAUAAUGACACCCCUAGGAUUGAAGACAUCUCGGUGGUACGAGAGUUUUGUGACAUGUUUUCAGCGGUGCUGCCAGGUAUGCCGCCUAAUAGGGAGAUUGAGUUUGUGGUAGAUCUCGUCCCUGGGACUACCCCAAUCUCAAAGGCACCCUAUAGGAUGGCACCGGCUGAGUUGAAAGAGCUGAGGGCAUAACUACAAGAUCUUUUGGAUAAAGGUUUUAUUCGACCAAGUGUUUCGCUUUGGGGAGCACCGGUUUUAUUUGUUAAGAAGAAUGAUGGAUCACUUCGCUUGUGCGUGGACUAUCGUGAGCUUAAUAAAGUCACGAUCAAGAACACGUAUCCAUUGCCGAGAAUUGAUGAUUUAUUUGAUCAGCUUCAAGGGUCAAGUGUCUAUUCCAAGAUAGACUUAUAGUCAGGAUACCACCAGUUAAAGAUUAAGCCUGAGGAUGUGUCGAAGACGGCUUUUAGAACACGGUAUGGACAUUAUGAGUUUACCGUUAUGCCGUUUGGGCUUACUAAUGCCCCGGCAGCUUUUAUGGAUCUAAUAAAUCAUGUUUUUAAGCCCUACCUAGACAGGUUUGUCGUGGUGUUCAUCGACGACAUCUUGGUUUAUUCCCGAAGUGACAAGGAUCACGAGGAACAUUUAAGACUUGUACUUCAAAUGCUUCGAGAAAAGAAGCUCUUUGCCAAACUGAAGAAAGUGAAUUUUGGCUCUAAGAAGUUGCUUUUUUGGGACAUUUGAUUUCGGGAUCGGGUAUAGCUGUGGAUCCUAGAAAAAUUGAAGCUAUCAAGGAUUGGCCUAGAUCUACGAGUGUUACCGAGAUUCGAAGUUUUCUUGGAUUGGCCGGCUACUACCGGAGAUUUGUGGAGGGAUUUGCAAAGUUAUCUACUCCCCUCACGAGGCUCACGCAUAAAGGAACUAAGUUCAUUUGGAAUGAUGCGUGCGAGAGAAGCUUUCGAGAGUUGAAGGAUCGGUUGACCACCGCCCCGAUCUUGGCCUUGCCAGUUGCUGUAGCAGGGUAUGUGAUUUAUAGCGAUGCAUCUUUUGAUGGAUUGGACUGUGUCUUGAUGCAGGAUGGAAAUGUGAUCGCGUAUGCCUCACGUCAAUUGAAGGAAUAUGAAAGGAACUAUCCUACACAUGAUUUGGAGUUGGCGGCCGUAGUCUUUGCAUUAAAGCUAUGGCAUCACUAUCUUUAUGGCGAGCAGUGUGAAGUGUACAUGGAUCACAAGAGCUUAAGGUAUUUAUUCACUCAGAAGGAGUUGAACUUGAGGCAACGCAGAUGGUUGGAGCUACUCAAGGAUUAUGAUUUGACGAUCCUCUACCACCCGGGCAAGGCUAACGUGGUGGCGGAUGCGCUAAGUCAGAAAUCGACGAAAAACCUAGCGAUGUUUAUAGUCACUCAAUCACCAUUGAUUGAGCAGAUGAAACGGUUGGAGUUGGAGGUAGUGGCUUCUGAUACACCCUUGAGAUUGAUGGCUUUGGUGGUGCAACCGACAUUAUUGGAAAGGAUUAAAGAAAAGCAAGUUCACUUCGAGCUAAGAUGGUUGAUAGUUACACCAGUGAUUUUCUUGUGGAUGAUCAAGGGUUGCUACGUUUCCGCGAUCGGAUUUGUGUACUGGAGGAAUCGGAAAUUAAAAGGGACAUUCUUCUAGAAGCUCACCGUGCACCCUAUGCUUUAUAUCCGGGAGGCACCAAGAUGUACAAGGAUUUGAAGUUACUUUAUUGGUGGCCCGGAAUGAAAAAAAACAUUGGUGAGUUUAUAGCUCGAUGUUUAAUUUGUCAACAAGUGAAAGCUGAGCACUGAUUACCCGCGGAAAAAUUUCAGAGUUUACCUAUUUCCGUGUGAAAGUGGGAAAAAGAUCACCUGGAUUUUGUUAUGAGAUUGCCUCGCUCUCAAGCCAGGCAUGAUGCUAUUUGGGUGAUCGUGAAUAGGUAACGAAAUCGGCUCAUUUUAUACCUAUUCACACGACUUGGACAAGGAAGAAGCUCGCACAAGUACCUUGAUGGAAUGGUGCAACUUCAUGGAGUGCCUACUUCUAUAGUAUCUUACAGAGAUCCCAGAUUUGUAUCUCACUUUUGGAGGAGUAUGCAGGACGCCUUAGGCAAUCGUUUGUAUUUCAGCACUGCUUUCCACCCUAAGAGUGAUGGACAAUCUGAGCAUACUAUUCAGACUCUGAAGGAUAUGCUUCGAGCGUGCGUGAUGGACUUCUGAGGGGAUGGUCACAGUAUUUACUGAUGGCAGAAUUUGCUUAUAACAAUAGUUAUCAAGCAAGCAUCAAGAUGGCACUCUUCGAGGCACUUUAUGUUCAUUGGAGUGAAGUUGGCGAGAGUUUGGCAUUAGGCCCCGAUGUGCUCUAGGAAGCAGAAGACAAGGUUCUCCUUGCUCGACAGCGGUUGUUGACAGCUCAAAGCAGACAGAGGAGCUAUGCUGAUAAGCGUCAACGAGAUUUGGAAUUCCAGGUUGGAGAUCAUGUAUUCUUGAAGGUCUCGCCGACUAAAGGAAUUAGAAGAUUUGGUAUUCGGAGUAAGUUGAGCCCCCGGUUUAUUGGACCCUAUGAGAUUCUGGAGCAUGUAGGCCCCGUAGCGUAUCGACUUGCUCUACCACUGAUGUAACAUACCGAAACUUCAGUAAAUAAAUAUCGAACUUUAGUCAAAUUGACCAAAGUGCGAUGUUGGUACGCUUCCGAAAGGCCGAAGGCGUCAAAAAGAUCAAAAGUGCAUUAUAGGGUGAUCUUCGAGAGCUAGAGAACCAAAAUAUGCAAACUGCAGUUUUUGUGCUCUUGGGGACUAGUCCCUGUAUGCGUAGGCAGCCCGAGGUUGGAAUUUCCCUUGAUGCAACCGGUCCCUCGCCGAGAGACCGGUCCCUAGUAGGGAGACCAGUUCCCGUGCGCGAAAAAUCCCAAAAGUGAGAAAAUCGACUAAGUCCUGAGAGCUGUGCUCUCAGGGACCGGUCCCCUGCUAGAGAGACCGGUCCCUCUGCACGAAAAAUGCCCAGUUUGGGCUGUUGCAAAUAACAAUGUUUGGGGGGUUUAGUUGCUAUUGUUGCAACGCUUAUAUGACCAAAACCCUCUCAUUCAUAGCAGCACAUCACCACACUCUCUCUCCCUCUCUCAUUUCUCUCUCUCUAGAAGGAGAAGAAGAAGGAGAAGAAGAAGAACAAGAAGCAGCUUGGAGAAGGUGGAGUUUUAGGGUUUUGGUGGUUCUUAGAGCUCUCCUACAAGAAAGAUCUUGGGAUAGCUCUUGGCAAAGGUGAGUUUCUUGCAAGUAGAGCUCUAGGGUUUGGAUUUUACCUUAGAACUUGGAGUUUUGUUCCUCUAGCAAGGCUAGGAUCAUUGUAGAGACCUUAAACCUAUGAAAAUUCAUGGUUUUUCAAGGUGCUCUCAUGGUGGUUAACUAGGGAUCAUGUUAGAUGCCCUAGUAAUGGUCUAAAUAGUUUGGAAACAAGAUUAGAGAGCUUCCUAGGUGAUCCUAAGAUAGUAUUUACUUAGAGUUGAGAUCAAUCUAGGGAAAAUUUGAAUAUGGCAUUGUUAGGGCUCAAAAUUGGGGCUUUUGCCCUAGAAUUUUUUCAAGGCAAAUUGACCUCUUGGAAACCUAAUUGGGGGUAUUCCCGACGCGUUGGACAACUCCGUUUGACGUUACGAAAAUGUCUAAGUAUAGUUUGUGUAUAUAGGGCCUAAUUUGGCACUAUUUUGGUUACAGGACGCGGAUUCGGCGUUCGUAAAGUUCGGGGGUCAUCGUAUUCUUCAUCUACUACCACUCAAGGUGGGGGGUUCACACCGGAAUCAUCGGAUUCCCCUUUAUGUCUAUUUUCACCUAUGUUGAGCAUAUUUGUAUAUAGAUUCAUCCAUGCAUGUAGGGUAAUUUACAUGUGAAACUUGAUUGGACAUCAUUUGAAUGCUUCUAAUAUAGUUGGACAUAGAGAAUGAUAGAAUCAUAAUGGACAUAUAUGUUGAGGCCCUAAACUUGCAUGAAUGUGAGACUUGGACUUGGACAAUAAUAAACAAGAGUGACAUUGACAUUAGAGACAUGAUUGGCAUUGAAAGAUGAAUUGUUAAACAUAGUUUAACCAAAUGUGGCAUUGUGGCAAGAGUGACCUAGAGAGUGGCAUGAAUUAACAGGUAGAACCUAUUAUGAUAAUGGCAUUGUGACUAGUGGCUAUACUUUCCCUAAGUGGAAAUUGGAUCGAUACUCGUGAUAAGUCUUGGCUUGAGGGUAGUAGCUCCCCCUCAAGCGAUGCGUUCCGGAAUUGUCACCACGGGGAGCGCGGUCUCCAAAGACGGUCCCUCGGGUCUUGUAGUGCUUAGAGCCUUCCCGAACAAAAGGAAUUCGGGUUGUGAGUUAUUGGGGUUAAUAAGGUUAACUGGUAAGAUUGGGUAAAAGCCAAAGUGAAAUCAUGGAAAAGCAUGCAUGCAUAUUCAAUAUUGCUUCGAUUAUAUAUAUCCACUGACAGAUUUCUUGCAGGUAUAGUAUUAGCAUUAGUAUGGUUACUACUUUUCUUUCCUUUGAAAUACUUAUACCUGGAAUAGACCUAGUGGGUAAGUCGGCGAGGUCGGAUGCCGAACCCACUGGAAACUUCGUUGUAGUUCUCACACUACUAACUCUAUAAGCCCUAGCACGAGUGGGGCGGCGGAGGACCGAGGCAAGAGUAUAGCGCCAUAGCUAGUGGCCACCGGAACUUAUGCAUUUUGUAGUGAUUCCUUUUGUACACAUAUAUCAACUUUUUUUGUUGAUUUAGAGUUGUAAAGUUGUAAACAAUCAUAUAUUUUUGGUAGAUGGCUAAAAUGUAAAGAAUUAUGGUUGAAUGGAAAAUGAAUGUAAUAGUUUUAGUCACAAGUGUUUGGUUUAAAUGUAAUAAAAUAUGGUGUAUGGUUGGAUGCUUAGCUUAGAACUUUCGCUUCCGUUGUUGCUUGCCCUCGUGCAAGCCUUGUAUAAUUUGCAUAUCCUUUUGUUGAAUUGCUUAAUUAUACUUGUUGUUGGAGCCUUGGGCGGACAGGGGAGAUGCUAUCCGUUCGGCGUCUGUUGACGUGACCUGAACCAGACCAAAUUGGCGGGGAUUGGGGCGUGACAACUGAACCUAUCGGGAGUGCACAAUGUCUUUCAUGUUUUGAUCCUUCAGACGUACAUUUUCGAUCCAGCUCACGUUUUGGAUGUUAUACCUUUGGAGCUGAGGGAUGACUUGAGCUUUGAAGAGCAACCGGUGAAGAUUUUAGCCCGCGAGGUGAAGAAGCUUCGGAAUCGCAAUAUUCCUUAUAUGAAGGUUCUUUGGAGCAACCACGAUGAACGCGAGACCACGUAGGAGUUGGAAAGCGCACUGCUAGAGUGUUAUCCCCAUCUUUUUCAGAUGGAAUCUUGAGCUAACUUGCUUUUUAAUUUUGCUGACGAAACUUUCUUUUAGGAAAGGAGAAUGUAACAUACUGAACCUUAGCAAAUUGCAAGGUUCAAGUGUUUGGUAGGUAUUCUGAGCUUUUUCGGGUUUUUUAGAGGGUCGUUGACUGUGUUCCGACCUAUGACUCGCAUCCCGAGGAGCGAGGAUGAGAACUUAGCACCAAAACCUCUAAAUUGUAGAUUUUGAGAUGCUCUCGGGUUGAGCUCUACAGGGCAGAGUACCGGUACUGGACCUGGUACCGGAACUGCAUCGCGAGGGUACCGGUACCGUGUGUGUUUGCUCGCUUAACCGAGGCUCUGGUUUGCGCGUGCUGCUGCCUGGUAUCGGUACUCCAGCCCGCGUACCGAUAUGCAGUGCAGUUCGCAGACUGCUUUUUUUUAGAAUUUUUUUUAUAAUUAUUGCAACACAUUAUAUACCCCACACCCUUUGGCUGGGGUCUUUUGUGCAGCAACCAUAGGAGAGAACAGGUGGGUUUUCCUCUUCAUUUUUCUUUGCUUUUUCCCUCUCCUUUGCUUUGGAUUUCGAGGAUGAUCUCUCCACUUUGCUUUCUUUUGCAUGUUGGUGGAUUUUCCACAAUUGGAGAAGCUUUGGAGCAAGAAUUGGAGUUUGUUUGAGGGUAGAACUUCAAUCCUAGCACCUUUCUAGCUAGGUUUUGGGCUUCAAGAGAGGUUAAUAACCUUGAUUUUUCUUUUGGAUCACAUUUUGGUGAAUUUUUGUAAUAAAAACCUAGAAAUGAGGAAUCUAGGGUUUUAUUUAGGGGUUUUUGAUUUGUAGCUAUUGGGGUUAAAUUGAUGGGUGUAGAACUUCCUUUUAGGUUGGAUUAGGAGUAUCCUAGCCUUCAUUUGGAGUUUGGAAGGGUUCUACACCAUACAAGGUAAAUUUGACAUCUUUUGGGGUUGGUUAAAGAUGAACUCGUGGAGUGUUCGUUUAUUGCCCCUAACCUUCUUCGAAUUUUCUUUAGGGAGUUAGGAGACUAGUGGACAUUCUUAUUCGCGCAAACAAAGGGGAUACGAGAAGUUCUCGGUGGGUUUGACCUCACUGAAAUAGGUGAACUUCCUCUAUGUUAUAUUCUUUAUUGAAAAAUAGAAAUUCAUGCAUAUUCAUGCUAGAUAGAGUAUAUGUAAAUUUUAGAAUGCUUAAAAGACAUAUGUUAUGUAUCAUGAUAUAUCACCUCUAUGUAGUUGAGAGACAAGUGUAUAGUAAUUAUGCAAGUGAAUGGCAUUUUUUUAUAUGGCUUGAAUUCAUGUUUCAUUUAGUGAAAAUGAUAAGUAUAACAUGCUCUUGGACAUAGAACUCAUGAUUGACAUAGUGGACAUUAAUGUCAUAAAGUGGCAUUCAACUUAGUAAAUGGUUAAACUCAUACUUGAUGGCAUAGUAAUAGCCCAUUGGGUCAUUAGCUUUUAUACCAUGUUUUAGGCAUAAUGACAUUGAACGCGAGACGAAUGAUUACGCUUGCUUGCCAUUGUACUCAUUCGCACAUGCUUGUGACGGUCACUCCCCACAAGCUGGCAGUCCGGAGAUAGCCAACGCGACAUAAGCUCGCCUUUGCCGGAUUGGGCGCUGAAACGGGAUGCCGUGGGGAAGGCUCAUUUCUAGAGUGGGAAUGUUGACUACCACGGGGCCAUUAGGCACGGCGCAAGCCGGACUACCCUUGUGUAGGUCCUAUAUGAUUGGAACAAUGUUGAACUAAUAUGCAAUGUGGACAUUAGACUAAUUGUAAAUGUUGACAUCCUACUAGUUGUACUUGUGGACAUCAUGCUAUUUAUAUAUAUGCUCAUUCAUGUUAAAAUAGCACUUAUACUUGUGGAACUUCAUGCUAAGUAGCGGCAUAGUAGUUUAGUAAGUUACUUCAUGCUUAAUAUAUAUGUUGUUCAUUUUAUUUAAAUGUUAGAUCAUAUUACUUAUGCCUCCAUGACCUAAUGGUGUAUUUCGCUAAUGUCGGCAGCUUAUCCACUGUAAACUAUUGAUUAAUAGUUCUCACACCCUCUGUUUUGUCGUUUUUGUUUACAGAGCCUUCCACUCCGGGAGAGGCUAGGGACCGCAGCAAGGGUGUCGCAUCUAGCUAGAUUGCGAAGAGUUUUUACUUUAGGUAGUUCACCUCUCUAUUUUUGUAUUCAUUGUAGAGAGAGAGACUAUUGUACCCUUAAUUUGUGUAGAGACCACCAUUUUUGUGUAUCUAACACCUUGUGUAUGGAUCUUGUGAUGUAUUUACCUUAUGAAUUAUGUUAGUUGUUUAGUUCAUUUAUAUUUUCACUUGUCAUUAGAAUUUAGUUGUAUUCAUGCUCUGAUAUCCCUAGAUGCUCGUUUACUUUUGCUUUAUUCAUCGCUUUAUUGUAAACGCCUUAUAUGUUGUAGGCAUAUGGUCGGUUUGGACACGCACCGGGCGGGCUUCCGCUGGGUCCCAGGGCGUGACACCCUAUGUACCGGUACUGCUGGUCGCGUACCGGUACCUGAUAAAUAACCUGAGAACGGUUGUUCUCGGGUUUGGUUGCUGCGAAGCUGUGUACCGGUGCUGGAAUUCGAGUACCGGUACUAGGGACCCGCGUACCGGUACUCAGUCUCGUGUACUAGUACCCUGCGGCCUGUGCAGAAAGGUUGCUCUUGGGUUGAGAUGUCCAUCCGGGGGUACCGGUACCCAACCCCGCGUAUCGGUACCCAGUGUAAAGUGUGCAGAUUUUGAAGAGCUGCAAAUGUAAAUUGUUGAAGGGCCUAUUUGCAAUUGUGGGAACUUACAAAUAGCCCCCACACCCUUCUCUCUUCUCCACAGCUGAGAACAACACCCCAUCUCCUUCUUUUUUUCAUACCUCCCUCUCCUUCUCUCUCUAGGAUCUCUUCAACAAGGCGGAUUGGAGGGAUUUGAAAGGAUUUUGGAGCUUGGUGGAGUGGAAAAGGCUCUCCUACAAGGUGCCGCUUGAGGUCUAGAGGUGGCUAAGGUAAGGGUUUGCAAGUUUAACCUAGGGUUUGCUUUGGUUGACCUAGAAUCCCUAUUUUUAGGGUUCUUGUGGUUUAGAAACCUAGAGUGAAUCAUGGUUUUCCAUGGUGAUGGGUGCUUGACCAUGCUAUGGAAAAUCCUAGGGUUAAAAUUAGGGUUUUUGUAGAUAUGGGGUUUAUUGUGAAAUUGAUCCCUUAAUUCCUUAAUUGGAGGAUAAAUCAACGCGUAGGGAGGCUCAAAGCGAAGUUCCCACGAGUCUACGACACAUCGUUGGAGAAAAACCCCGUUUUUCGUUCGUUGCCCUUGGGUCAAGCCAAGACGGUGUCGUAAAAUCGCGGGACUUGGUUUCUCGCCUCUUAGCAUCAAACCAAGAUGGGUGGUGCUAUCCGAAAUAAUCUGACUUCUCCCUAUUUUUAUGUUACUAUUGUUGGCCAUGUAUGUAUAUGUGUAAAUUCAUGCAUUGUAGAGUAGUGUGGGACAUGCACUCAUUCCUUGUAUGCUUUCAUGAUAAAUGUAGAAAAUAUGUGAUGGAACAUAGAUAUAUAUAUGCAUAAGGAUUAGGUCUUGAACAAUAGAAUCUCUAUAGUGCCAUGAAUGGAAAUGUGAACUUACACAACAUACUGACAUGGAUUGGUGGUAUCAGGAGUAGUGAUGUUGGUAGCACACAUGACAUUAGUGGUUAGGGGUGGAUAGAUCCCCGAGCAUUGUUGCCCCUAGUUGGUAGGGUAUCCUCUAGUUGGAGGAUUGGAUUGUACUCACAUAGCGUCUGUCNAGUAGUUGUUAUUACUUAUUUACCUUACCUGCUUAUUGUUUCAUAUUGCAAAGGCAUAGUAGCAUGCUAGAGGGUUGUUAUAUUGGUAACCCUUCUACUUUUGCCUGCUUAGGCCUAGUGGGAAAAUCGGCGGCGUCGGUAGCCAAACCCAUUAGGGACUAUUAUUAGUUCUCAUUCCAUUUUGUUGCAGGGCCGAGCACGAGCGGACAGGUUGAGGACCGCGGUAAGAGCAUAGCGCCCUAGAUAGCUACCUCCUAUGCAUUAGAGUCGGGUACCAUUUUGACAUAUGUGCAUAUUGGUAGAGAGACUUGAUGUUAUAUUUUGGUGAGGUUGCUAGAAAUGUAAUUGUAUCAUGAGUUGAAUGAUGUAAACCAUAUGUAUCUAUAGAUGCAAAUUGCAACCAAUGGAUGUAUGUUGGUGGAAACAUGUUAUAUGGUUGAAUGUCAAUGUAAUAGUUAGUUUCUCUCUUGUUCUCGCUUGUUUAAUUACUCGCUUGUAUCAUGUAUGUUGUUGAUGUUUUUCCUGGGCAACUAGAUGUACAUGAUCUCUUGUUGAGCCUUGGGCGGACAGGGGAGACUCUGUCCGUUCGACGUCUGUCGACCCCCGAACCGAUCAAAUAGGCGGUUACGGGGUGUGACAGAAAGAGUGGUAUCAGAGCAAGUAAAAGAGAGAAGUCUAGGAUGAACCAAGGAGACCCUAGGUUGGUAACUCUAAGGACAUCAGUGUGUGAGAGACGCGGAUCUAUGAGCUGUGGCGCAGGUUAAUUCAAUUCGGUAUAAUUGUUAGUAUGUCCCUAGUGGUUGAUAGAGAUGGAUUCAAGUAGUACUUGUUCUCAAUUUGAGGGAGUUGUGUUGGCGGCCGACAACAUAACGCUAAGGAUUGGUAAUGAGUAUGCUUGAGUGCUUCCGCCGGAUUUGGUAUUGAGUCGAUUGUUCCUAAGUUGCGUCAAGUUCGUGGGUUAAGGUGAUUAACCUGAUUGUUGCGUUUCAAAAGCUAUGGCACCGAUGAGACGCCUCGCGACGCAAUCCACUCCGGCACUGCCUCCUGAGGUGUCCGAGCAAUCUGAGUCUAAUGAAGUGCAGGAGUUGUGGGCGCAAGUGACUGCGCUAGUUUGUGUGGUGCAACGCCAAGAGGACCGGUUCGAGCGGCUCCAAGAGUUGAUGGAGCAGCAAGUAGCGGCGAUGGUUGCGACGGCAACUGAAGGCCGUGAUCCGCCCGUGCCCUCGGCUCGUGCGCCUAAUGCGGCUGAGGGUGUGGGCAAUGCGGCAGCUCCGGUGGCGGCACGUCCCCCGCCGGCGUGCGUUCCUCCGGCAGCUUCGGGUUCUUCGAUACUCGAUGGGCGGCAGAGGAGGCUGAAUGGGAGCGUGGUUAUACGGCUCUCACGAAGUUUAUGAAGUUCCAUCCUCCGACAUUCGAUGGUGAGGUGAUAGAUCCUUGGAUCGUGGAGACUUGGUUAGCCACGAUGGAGACAUUGUUCGAGGACAUCUACACCUUGGAGCAAAACAAGGUGCACUUGGCCGCUCAUUGCUUUGAGAAGACGGCUCGAGUGUGGUGGAGGAGGGUGAAGAAGGAUCGAUCUCCGGACCUUCCCCUGAUCGAUUGGGAGGAGUUUCAACGAUUGAUUGUAACACACUGAACUUUAGCAAAUUGCAAGGUUCGAGUGUUUGAACUGCGUUUUGAGUUUUUCCAGAUAUUCUGGAGGGUCGUAGACUCUGUUCUGACCAAUGGCGCGCGUCUCGAGGAGCGAGGUUAAAAACUUAGUACUAAACCUCUAAAGUGCAGGAAAUUGCGCUGCUCUCGGGUUUGUCUCUGCAGGAUUGAGUACCAGUACUUCAUUGACCUAGUACCGAAACUGGAUCUGGUACCGGUACAGCAUUGAGCUCGUACCGGUACGCAGUGCGUUUUCUCGCCAACCUGAGGCUCAGGUUUGCGUAAACUGUAGCUUGGUACCGGUACUCUUUUCCGUGUACCGGUACGCAGUGCAGUGCAGACUGCACGUAGUCGGAGGAUUUUUUUGAGAUUGUUACAUCUCUAUUUAAGCUCCCACAGCCCCUUAGAUGGCUCUUUUGAGCCCUAAACCGUGGAGUGCCAGGUAGAACUCCUCUCCCUUGGUUUUUUUUCUCUUUUCUUGAGAUUUUUACUUAGUUUGAUCUCUCUUUUCCUCUCCUCUUUGCUUCGUUUUGGGUUUCCACCAUUGAAAAAGCUUUGGAUUGAAGAGAGGAGCUUUCUAGAGGAUCAAUCUUCAACCUUAGCUCAUUCCAUGUUUGGAUUGGAACUUAUUGAAAGGUUAGUACCUUAGAUCUUCUCUUUAUAUCUUGUUUUGAUAGAGUUUUUGAGACGAAAACCUAAAAAUGAGAAUCUAGGGUUUUAUUUGGGGAUUUUUGAUUUGUGGCUUUUGGGGCUUAAUUGAUAGGUGUAGAACAUUCAAUUGGGUUGGCUUAGAAGGGUUCUUGCUAUCAUUUGGAGAUUGAGAGAGAUUUUCACCAUUCAAGGUGAGUUUUUGCCAUUUUUUUGGGUUGGUUAAAAGUUUGAUCAUAGGAGUGUUCGUUCGUUUCACUUAUUCCUCUUAGAAUUAUCUUUAGGGAGCUAGGAUGCUAGCGGACACCUUCUUUUGUGCGAACGAAGGGUUUCAAGGAGCUCUUGGUGGGUUUGACCUUACCGAAAUGGGUGAAAUCCCCCCUAUGUUAUUUUUCUUGUUCUAAAAAUAGAAAUUCAUGCAUAUUCAUGCUAGAUAGAGUAUAUGUGAAUUUUAGAAUGCUUAAAAUACAUGUGUUAUGUAUGAUGGAAUAUUACCUCUAUAUAGUAGAGAGAUUUGCAUAUAGUAUGCAUGUAAGUGAAUAGCAUUCUUUUAUAUGGUUUGAAAUCAUUUUUCAUUAAGGUAUCCUCUAGUUGGAGGAUUGGAUUGUACUCACAUAGCGUCUGUUGGCUUGGUGGUGGUCGCUCCACCCAAGCAGUGGGCUCCGAAGUUGUCACAUUUUGGAUUAACGUAUCUACCCAGAAGACUGUCCCGGAUGAGCGUAGCUGGGUGUCUCCUCAUCUGUGGGAUUGGUUGUGAGUUAAGCUCAACCUUCGGAUUAGCCAGUGAGAUUGGGUUACAAGCAUAUGAAUGGCAUGCAUCAGCAUAAUCCUUACUUUAUUCAUAUCAUAUUGUUGAGGCAUAGUAGUAUGUUAGCAUUUAUUAUUCUUGUAUAUUCCUCUACUCGUUGGAUCACACUUCUGUUACUUGGGAGGCCUUUCGGGAGAUGCUACUCAUGGAGUAUUUUCCUGAGAGCGACAAAAGGAAAAUCAAUGAGGAUUUUCAAAAGUUAAGGCAAGGAGGUCGCACGGUGCGGGAGUAUGAACGGGAGUUCACGCACCUAGUUAAUUGCGUGCCGAGCUUGGUUCAUGGUGAUAGGGACCGGGCGAAGGCAUUCGAGCGCGGGUUGCGACUCGAGAUUUUCAAGGUUAUUCAUGCAUUCCGCUUAAAGACCUACGAGGAGGUACUUGACCGCGCGCUUUGGGUGGAGUGCGGCAAUGCUAUUGCGCGAGAGGAGCGCGAGGCUUUUGAGAAGGACAAGGAAAAAGAUAAGUCCAAGAAGCGGGCAUCUAGUAGACCCACAGGGCAGUCGAGUUCUAAGUGGCCCCCGCGACCCCAGCGAUCACAGUAGCAGGGAGGUAGGAGUCAUACACAGAGCGAGAGUAUCUACCCGUGCGUGAUUUGCGGCGGAAACCACCGUGUUACUACUUGCCCUCAGCGGGAGGGGCGGUGUUUUCAAUACAGCCAGGUGGGCCACAUAGGCCGAGAGUGCCCCGGCGGCGCAUCCCCAACUCCGUCAUCAGCUUCAGUUCAGUACACUCAGCGACAGCUGGCAGGGCUGCCACCCGCUAUGUCUGCUAGACGAUCAUCUGCGCCUCGUCAGCGGAGUCGUCUCGAGCACCUAGUGGGCAGGUAUUUGCCACUCAGGUGAAGGAGCAGCCGAUUCCAGUCCCCAACAACAUCGUGGCAGCUAUUGUUCUUAUCAGAGGCACUAGAGCUAGAGCUACAUUUGACACGGGUGCAUCUCAUUCAUUCAUUGAUGCAUCAUUCGCUAAGACUCAUGACAUAGAGAUCACACAUAAUGAAGAGUAUUGGUCGGUGAAUACUCCGGAGCAUUCGUUUCAUGUACAUGACGAGUGCUUGGCGUGUCCAGUACAGAUAGGCGAUUAGAUUAUGCCGAUCGACCUUUUGGUACUGAAUCAAAUGUGGGGCUUCGAUGUGAUCUUGGAGACCAACUGGCUCUCCAAGUAUUACGCAGUCAUCGAUUGUGAAAGUAAGGUGAUCACAUUCCGUGAACCUAAUCAAGAAGAAUUGGUGUAUCGGGCUUGUAAAAGUAGGCGCUUCGCGGUGACCAUAUCGGCGGCGAGAGCGAAAAAAAUGACUAAGGGUGAUUGUAAGGCCUAUUUGGCAACCAUCAUAGACGCCCAAAGGAGUACCCGAAACUUAAAGGUAUUCGGGUAGUAUGCGAGUAUCCGGAUGUGUUUCCGGCGGAGUUACCGGGAUUGCCACCAGACCAGAAAAUUGAGUUUGUCAUUGAUUUGAUUCUCAGGGCGGCGCCAAUUUCGAAGGCUCCGUAUAGAUUGGCACCGGUGUAAUUAAAGGAAUUAAAGGCCCAGUUGCAAGACUUACUCGAUAAAGGCUUUGUACGACCGAGCGUGUCUCCGUGGGGAGCUCUGGUGCUAUUUGUGAAGAAAAAGGAUGGCAUUCUUUGACUUUGCGUUGAUUAUCGCGAGUUGAACAAAGUAACGAUAAAAACAAGUACCCGUUGCCGAGGAUUGACGAUUUAUUCGAUCAGUUGCAAGGGUCAAGGGUAUAUUCUAAAAUUGAUCUUCAAUCGGGAUAUCAUCAGUUGAAGAUACGACCCAAGGAUGUGCAACUCGAGGGAUUAGAAGAUUCGGAAUCCGGGGUAAGUUGAGCCCCCGAUUCAUUGGACCGUUUGAGGUUUUGGAGCGUGUAGGCCCGGUAGCGUAUCGACUCGCUCUACCGCUAAAUCGCGAGACCUUCAAGAAGACGUGAUCUCCAAUCUGAAACUCCAAGUCUCGUCGACGUUUAUCAGCAUAACUCCUCUACCUACUCUGGGCUGUCAACAGACGCUCUCGAGCAAUGCGAACCUUGUCUUCUGCUUCCUGGAGCACAUCUGGGCCUAAAGCCAAUCUCUCGCCAACUUCACUCCAAUGAAGUGGCGAUCUACACUUCCGUCCAUAGAGUGCCUCGAACGGUGCCAUCUUGAUGCUUGCUUGAUAACUGUUGUUAUAAGCAAACUCUGCCAUCGGUAGAUGCUGCGACCACCCUCCUUCGAAGUCAAUCACGCAGGCUCGAAGCAUAUCUUCGAGAGUCUGUAUAGUACGCUCCGACUGCCCGUCACUCUGGGGGUGGAAAGCAGUGCUGAAGUCCAAGCGCGUACCCAAGGCGUCCUGUAAGCUCCUCCAAAAAUGGGAUACAAAACGGGGAUCUCGAUCCGAUUCUAUAGAAGUAGGUACCCUGUGCAAUCGCACAAUCUCAUCCAAAUAAACCUGUGCGAGUCUCUCACCAGUCCAAGUAGUGUGGAUAGGUAUGAAAUGUGCCGAUUUCGUCAGCCUAUCCACAAUCACCCAAAUAGCGUCAUGCCCGGCCUGUGAGCGAGGCAAUCCCAUCACGAAAUCCAUGGUGAUCUUUUCCCACUUCCACACUGGAAUCGGUAGGCUCUGCAACUUUCCCGCAGGAACUCGGUGCUCAGCCUUCACCUGUUGGCAAGUUAAGCAUCUCGCAACAAACUCACCAACAUCCUUUUUCAUCCCGGGCCACCAAUAAAGUAAUUUCAAAUCCUUGUACAUCUUGGUGCCUCCCGGAUGUAUAGCAUACGGUGCUCGGUGUGCUUCUUGAAGAAUGUCUUCUUUAAUGCCCAAGUCCGCCGGUACACAAAGUCGUCCGCGGAAACGCAUCAAUCCAUCACCGUCUAAAGUGAAGUCACCGGUGCAACCAUCAACUAUCUUAGUUCGAAUCUUUUGCAACUCCGAGUCGGAAGCUUGCUUUUCUUUAAUCCUUUCUAUAAGGGUAGGUUGCACCACCAAAGUCAUCAGUCUCAAAGGUGUAUCAGGAGCCACCACCUCCAACUCCAACCGCUUCAUCUGCUCGAUCAACGGCGGUUGAGUAACCAUAAACAUCGCUAAGUUCUCAGUCGAUUUCCUACUUAGCGCAUCAGCCACCACGUUAGCCUUGUCCGGGUGGUAAAGUAUCAUCAAAUCAUAAUCCUUCAGUAGCUCCAACCAUCUGCGCUGCCUCAAGUUCAACUCCUUUUGAGUGAAUAGAUACUUUAAGCUCUUGUGAUCCGUAUACACUUCGCAUCGCUCGCCGUAUAAGUAGUGGCGCCAUAGCUUCAAUGCAAAGACCACAAUGUAUUUCAUGUAUCGGUCCUAUGGAAGUACGUUCAUGAUCCGGCUCACGUAUUGGACGUCACUCCUUAGGAGCUGAGGGAUGACUUGAGCUUUGAGGAGCAACCUUUGAGGAUUUUGGCUCGCGAGGUUAAACGAUUGCGGAACCGUGAGAUUCCCUACGUGAAGGUGCUUUGGAGCAACCACGACGAGCGCGAGGCCACUUAGGAGUUGGAGAGCGCAUUGCAGGAGCGCUAUCCCCAUCUUUUUCAGAUUGAGGCUUGAGGUACUUGUCAUUUCGAGUUUCGCGGACGAAACUCCUUUUUAGGAGGGGUAAAUGUAACACACCGGACCUUUGCAAAUUGCGAGGUUCGAGUGUUUGGAUGUAUUUCGAGCUUUUCCACACUUGGUGGAGGGUUGUGGAAUGUUUUUCCGACCUAAAAAGUUCGAAAACUAGAAUUCUGGACAAGUCCUGAGAGUUUUUACUCUCGGGGACCGGUCCCUGGAAGGAGAGACCGGUCCCCCAGUGAGCAGUGUUGCGGCAGCCUUGAGGCAACCGGUUCCUGGCAGGCGAGACCGGUCCCCGAGCGCGCCUACGCAGUGAGAGACCGGUCCCGCGCAGGGAGAGACCGGUUCCCGAACGUUGGUUUUUUCUGGUUCGCAGCGAGAGACCGGUCCCUGCUGGGGAGAGACCGGUCCGUCUGGGCGAAAACUGCCCAGUUCGGGCUGAUGUAAAUUUGAAUUUUUGAGGGGCCUCUCCGGAUUUUGUUACACUAGAUGGGCUUAUUAGCCAUUUCCUCCUCUUCCCUCUCUCAUUUUCUCAUUCUCACCCUCUCCCUACACCUUCUAGAGAGAGAAGAAGAAGAAGAAGGAGGAGAAGAAGAAGAGGAGCUUGCUUGAGGGAGCUUGGAGCUCAACCCCUUUCUCUCCUUUCCACCCUUGCUUGGCUUGGAGCUUGCUUGUAGAGCUUGGUGGUGGACCAAUCUUCAACCCUAGAAGAUUUGGAGCUUGUUUGGAGGCAUCUUGGGAGGUUAGUACUUGGAUUCUACCCUUUGAUCCUUGAUUUGGUAGGUUUUACCAUAUGGAACCCUAGAAUGGGUAUUAGGGUUGAUUUUUGGGGCUUUUUGAUCUAGGGCUUUUGAGGCUAGAUUGAUUGGAUUAGAACCUUCCUUGGGCUUGGAUUGGAAGGGAUUUAGCUCUCUUUUGGAGCUUGAGAGAGAUUUCCCACACAUUAGGUGAGUUUUAGCCCUUUUGCCAAGUUUGUUAAAGUUUGAUCUUAUAGUUGAUCGUAAUGCCCGUGUAUCUCUUCGCUCGAUACUUUUAGGGUAUUUUGAGACUCGUGGACAACCUCGUUCGGCGAAUCGAGGGAGCACGCGACGGUUCGGUGGGUUUGACCUAGCCUGGCAUAUGAGAAAUUCUCAUAUCUCAUAUUUUAUGCUUGUAGAGUAAAAAUUCAUGCAUUUCCAUGAUAAAUGUAUUUAUUGUGAAUUUUGGGAUGCUUAACAUGCCUAUAAUAUGUGUAAGAAAUUUCGGGCCCCUAUAUAGUAGAGGGCUACCGUGUGAGACUUGUAUAUGAUGGGCACCCUAUUGAGACUUGGAAUCAUAUUUCCUAUUGUGAAAGUGAGCAUUACCUUCAUGCAUUUUAAGCUAUUCUUACUUGAGACUUAAG
rnacentral:lncRNA from 1 species